rnacentral:lncRNA from 1 species
GUAGAUGGAGUAAUAUCCCUCACUUGUCAAAGUGAGAAUAUAUUCCUCUCAACAGUGAAUGAAGGAAUUGUCUAGUCGUCACGUUUGACGACCCGCUAAUCCUUGAAGAGAAUCGUCAUACUUGCUCUCGACAGGGAAACAAUAUCAUUUCAUACGGGUCAUAUCUAUAUCGAAAUAAAAUAAUAUAUUAAAGUAUUUCUUUUUAAUAUUAUUAAUAUCGAAUAAUAUCAAUUAGUCAUUAAUUAACUUAAACACUAGUUCAAUCGGUCUAAUUGAACUCAAUUUAAUUAUAAUCCAGUUGAAUCGAUCUCUAAUCCUCAUUUAAUUAAUUUGAAAUAUUCAUAGACUAGUAUAAUUUAGUUCAGAUUGGGUUCAAUUUAGAUUAAAUAGAUCUGAAUAAAUUAAACUAAUUCUAAAUCACCCUGAAUCAAUUUCAACUAAUCAAAUCUCGUUUGGUUCAAUUGGCCCAAAUCCAACAAAAUAAGGCCAAUAAACUAAACUACAUAAUACUGGACUAGGUUGGGCCAGCCCAAGUAUUGGUCAUAUGUACUAUAUAUGACUAUACAUGAACCUCACUAAGCUGAGCCAACCAAUAGCCCAUGGACUAGUUAAUAUGGACCCAUGUUGGGCUAGGCUGAGUUAACCUACGAGUUGGACUUGGCCUACUGAUUGAGCAUAGCUUAUUAAUUGGACCUAGCUUGUGGGCUAUGACCUGACCUACCGGUUGGGCCUAGCCUACGGGUUAGGCCUAACUUGUUGGUUGAUUUUAACUCAAACUUAACUAAUACCCUCAAUUUCAUAUUGUGACAUUAUAAACAAGCAUAUAUUCAUUAAUCAUAUGUCAUUAAAACAUAAUAAAUAAUAAUAGAUUAAAACGAUAAACUACAUAAAGAGAAAAUAGCAUUCUAAAUCAAGUAUUGUAUAAAUCUAAUAAAAAUCAAUUAUCAUGCAUUCAAUAUAAAAUUUUAAAAAUGCAUAUGACAUAAAUAAUUUUAACAUGUUCUAAUCUAAAAUAAAAUUCUAAACCUUAAAAAGGAUAAAAGAAGAUAUUAAAAACUUCAUAUAAUAUUUUUUAAUCUAAAAAUAAAAUUUUAAACAUUUAAAGGAAUUAUUAUUUUUAUUUUUUAACAAAGGCACGGGAACUUAUUUCUCCUCGGUAGGAUACAAAUCCUCGUUCCUCCUAUUACUUGGCUUAGUGAGGAAUGAAUGAGAGAAAUCCCUCUUCUUAAAUAGGAGGAGAUUAGCCCUCCAUAUAAGAAUUUUUUUAAUUUUUAUAUUUAUUUAAUAUUUAUUUUUAUUUAAUUUUCUAAUGAAAAUGACAUCAACCUACUUGAAAUGUUGAAUAAUUAUUUUCUAAAUUUCAUUAGCAAGUAAGAAAAAAAAAUCAUACCUAAAUUGAAGAUUUGAUUACAUUUCUCACCUUCUAAAGAAAAUUUGGUUCCCAAAUUUAACUUACCUCAAGAAAAUAUAUUAGGAUACUGAUUUCUCACAUCUUCUUCUUUUUCUUAGGUUACUUAUGCUACCAAUAGAUCUUUAUCAAAGGUAUAAUUUUAUCCCUAUGAACAAGCUCUUUCCUUUCCAAAAUCUGAGUUGGUUAUUUUACAAAGGUAGCAUCAUCCUUUAGUUACAAAUGUUGGUAAGAUAUGACAUGAGAUGAAUCAUUAAUAUAUCUUCAGAGCAUAAAGACGUGGAAUACAUCAUGAAUGCUAGUCAAAACCGGGGGCAAUGCCAAUCUGUAUGCCAUAGGUCCAACUUUUUAUAAGAUCUCAAAUGAGUCAAUAAAUCUAGUGGCUAACUACCCCUUUGGCCAAACCUCCUAACUUUCCUAGUUGAUGACACCUUUAAGAGGACGUGAUCACUAACUUCGAAUUCCAAAUCUCUUCGUUUUCAAUUUGCAUAACUUUUUUUGGCAACUUUGGGUUGUUAAUAAUCUCUGAUGUAUAGUUUAAAUAUUAUUAGUAUCUCUUUGAAUCAGUUGAAAUUUUUCAUGGAUUAGUGCGUCAUUUGAUGUGGUGGCUAUAAAGUUACUCCAUCCAUUGUUGGGAGUGCGAUAUGGGUUUGUCUCCAUCCGCUGUUAGAAGAAUACAAACUCGUACCAUAGAUAAAUCCUCUCAAUCCAUUGUUGUAGAGUGCUCUUUUAGGUAUUCGAUAUAUGUCAAUGAGAGGAUUGACUGUUGGCUAUGUAUUUAUUUUAAGUUAAAUUAUAGGAGUUCCUACUCAACAUUAUUGAAAUUUCUUUGUUUUUUACUUUUAGAGUAGCCUUCUAGUAGUACUAGAUCGGAUUCCAAUGGUGAGUGUAACUUUUUCUAUUGCUAAGUAGAGCCAGUUGGAUUUAUCUUUGAGUUAACAUCACUAUGUUUACUUUUGACUUAUAAUUUAAUUAAUAAAUAAAUUAUAAUAAAUAUUUAUAAGUUAUAUACAUUAAUAAAGUGAUAUUCAUUUGUUUAGCUACGAAUGCAUUUACAAAAAGAUGCUAUGAUCUUGUAAAAAAAAAAAUUUAAGAUGUGAUAUCUUUUAUGAUAUUAGAGCCGACUUAGUAUUUGAGCAUUAUGAUGGGACUUAAGUAGGAAAAGACUACCUAUGGAUGGAGUCAGAGGACUUGUCAUAGCGUUGAGCCACCAUUGGACUACGCCUCACAUGCACUAUGUUCGAGUUUGAUUUAGGCUAUGUUGGGCCUUGACGUGGAUAUCAAUCCCUUGAUCGACUAAGUCAUAGUCUACAGUUUGUGCAGUCAUGACUAUAUUUUAAUUUGACUAUUCUUAGAGAUGAGUCUGGUAGAGUGAGACCAUUUUACCUUUCUGAAGUGGGGUGUACUCUAAUAGACUACUCUAGCACUACUUAUGAAUAUGAUAAUAUUCAUAUUUCAUCUUAAUUGGCAGCUAUCCACAAACACUACUUACACAUACUUACAAUUCAUAAGGGGAUAUAAGAAGUAGUAGUAGCAGGUAUAGCUUAGUUGGGAGAGUGUUAGAUUGAGGAUUUGAACGUCGCAUGUUCUAUCCACACUUACCAUAUUAUUUUAAUAUAGUUUUACUUACCAAAAAAAAGGGAUACAAGAAGUAGUAAAUAAUUAAGCAAUGUUGAAAUUAAAUUCAAACAUUCUUAUGAUUCUUAGAGUACACAUAUUUUAUUCAUAAUUAUUAUAAAAAGAUUUUUUAUUUUUAAUAAAUCUAAUCAAAUUUAAUUUAUUUCCUAUUCAUUCUUGCUAAUUUGUAAUAGUGAAUUUAAUGUAUAUAUUCUUUUUCUUUUACUAUGUGCGCUAGCAUGAGAGGGCAACAACCCUCCCAUGAGUAGCGGCGGAGGAAUGAUUGCUAUUAUGGGAUAUGGCAGGAGCACGGUGUCCAUGUUGAGGGUGUCGAUCAUAGGAGGUCAUUGGCCCUACCAUGAGCAGCUAUUGCAUAAAUAAUUAUAAUACUGUGUGCGAUGAAUCAAGGGUGUGACAGCCCUGUUAAGGGUGGUGAUUAUCGAAGGCAUCAUGACGAUAGCUUGAUUAAGGACUCUGGGAUGCAGGUGAUGGUGCAAUGUCAAACAUCACGAUGCAAAGCCACUAGCAGCAUCGUCCAUAGUUGCUAGGGUUGUGAGGUGACAAAAGCAGGGCUCAAUAGGGUUGGGGUUGGUGAUUUGCUAGCAAUGUUGCAUCAUCAAUAAGGAUUUGGCAAUGAGAAGGUCAUGUGAUGGCUUUGCACAAUAGAAGGAAUCCCUACAAAAGCCACCUUACGAUUUUGACCUAGUUUAGUCAAAAUCAAAUGUUGACCCUAUCCAACCCAUUUUGAUCUUUUGUCCUAGUCAAAAUCUAUGUUCGAUCAAAAUCUAUCUAGUUUAGUCAAAAUCAAAUGGCUUUGUAAUCUUUCUACAGGUACUUAAUGUUUUAUAUUCACCUACUAGCAAAUCAGAUAUUUAAAGACAAACCUUACUAUAUCUCUUUUUAUACUAUGUCAUUAAUAAUUUUGAAGCAAAUCCCAAUAUAUCAUGAUAGUCCCGGGAUAGAUAUUAAACCUCAAUUUAUGAGCCUCCUCUAAUAGUUGCAUCUUUAUUAGAUUACUUUUGGAAACACAAAAUCAAUUGUAGAAUCUAUAGAACCAUCUUCGGUUUGGAGGAAUUUAGGUCUAGAUCCCUGAGCUAUCAUAUGAAGAUGUGCAUCUUUCUUUUGACUUUCUUUGAUUAUUUCUAUCAAAAAUGAUUAUGCCAUCAAUCAUGCUAGAAAAUCUUUAUUUAACUCAUAUAAAAGUUCAAGCUUCAUAUCUACCAAUUCUAUCAUUAUAUAAUUUCUUUAAAUAUUUAUAUAGGUUAUAAUUCUUGAAGUAUUUCUGUUAAAGGUAUCAAUAAUUACAUUAGCCUUCACAGGAUGAUAGUUUAAUUAAAAUCAUAAUCUUUUAGAAAGUUCAACCAUUUUUCUAUCUUAUAUUUAAAUCUUUUUGAAUGAAUAUGUACUUGAGACUCUUAUGAUAUAUGAAGAUUUCAAAAGGUUGUCCGUAAAGAUAAAGCCUCUAAAUUUUUAAUGUAAAAAUGAUAGUUGCUAGCUCUAAGUCAUAAGUAUGAUAGUUCUUCUCAUGAGGCUUAAUUGUCUUGAUGCAUAAAUAAUUACCCUCUUAUUUUGCAUUUAUUCACAAAAAAGUUCUUGAAGUGAGAUAUCAUUAUACAAUAUAAAACCUUCUCUUUUAGAAGAAAUCACCAGGAUAGGAGCACUGGUUAAUUUCUCCUUCAAUUCUAGAAAACUUCGUUAAAACUUAUCGUCCCAAACAAACUUUAUAUUCUUCUAUGUUAACCCGGUCAAGGGUACUACUAUUUUUGAAAAGCCUUCUAAGAAUCUUCUAUAAUAUCUAACUAAACCCAAGAAGCUUCUGAUCUCCAAAAUAUUAUAAGGCUAUUUUCAUUUCAUCAUUGCUUUAAUCUUUUAGGGGUCAAUAAAUAUACUAGCACUCGAAAUUACACGAUCGAGAAACAUAACUUUAUUAAGCUAAAAAUUAUACUUGUUAAAUAUGAAAUAUAGUUAAAUAAGAUCAUAUAAAAGAAUACGUAUAAUUAGAAUAUAUAAGCAUAUAUACAAGCAUAUCACAAAGUGUAAUUAUACCUUAAAUGAUAAAUCCCGAGACUUCAGCAUCUUGAUGGGAUAAUGCAUAGAUCCUCACUUGAGCUCCCCCUCUAGGUUAAUAUUGUCUAGAUAUUUCGUGUGGAGCUUGGCGUUGAUAUUACUUUCAUGAGUAGUCAUUCGACAUGUGCCCCGAUUAUUACAAAAAAAAAAGUAUACAUGUUAUCCAAUAAGGCAUGAGGUGGAAAUAUGAUCGGUCUUUCCACAUAAAUAACAUUAUAUAACAACUUGAUUAUUGGGAGCUUCUGCUUUAUUCUUGGUGACUUUAAUACUGUUCAGUACAUAAAUUAAUAAGUGGGGGGUAGAUUACUUUUAGAAAGCCAGUUUUAAAGUUCUAAUGAUUAUAUAGAUACUACUGUAUUGAUUAAUAUGAAAUCUAUAGGUGAUUGGCUCUCAUGGAGUAAUCAAAAUGCUGCUCACAGAAAAAUUAUGGAUUGACUAGACAACCGUUUGAUUAAUCAAGAAUAGUUAAUCGUUUACCUUGAUUCACUUCUUGAGUAUGGUGCUUAGUUGUUUUCAGAUCACUCUAUAAUACAUAUAUAUAUGUAGAUAAAGCAAUAUCUAAAGGCAAGAAACCUUUUAGAUUCCUUAACAUGUGGAGUACUCACUCUCAAUUCCUCCAGGUUAUCAGAUCAGCUUGGAACAUUAAUGUGCAUAGUUCUCCCCCUUACAUCUUAUGCCAAAAGCUAAAAACAUGUAAAGCAAAAUUUAACGAGUGAAAUACAAACAUCUUUGGUAAUAUUAUCACCCGGGUUGAGUUAUGCAAAAAGAAACUUAUGACAGUACAACAUGAGCUGCAUCUUCAGCUCCAUUAUGAGAAUCUUAUCUGCAAAGAGGUAGAAGCUAGAGAUAACUUUAUGCAAGCUCUAAAACAAGAGGAAAGCUUUCUAAAACAAAAGUCUUGACAACAUUGUCUUACUCUAGGGGACUCUAAUACUAAAUUUUUCUAUACUGCUAUUGCUACUAAAACGGUCAUUAACUGCAUCAGAAAAUGUAAAGACUAAGAUAGUAAUCUUAUUGAGGAUUUGAAUGAGGUUAAAGGACACAAUAAGCAAUUUUUUUAUUCUUUACUUAAUAAGAGGAGUAGCCUAAUAGUAUUCAUAUAGAGCCACUAGAAAGCUUGAUUCGGAAGCUAUCUCAACCCUUAAUGCCCCAAUUAUAGAUAAAGAAAUUGUGAGAGUUAUCUUUAAGUCAUCGAAAUACAAAAGUCCUAGUUCGGAUGCAUUUUCAAUUGAAUUUUAUUAAAUUGCAUGAUCUAUCGUAGGCAAUGAUGUGAUUAAAGCUUAUUAACACCUUUUCUCUUUAGGCCGUAUUCUUAAAGAAAUGAAUUGCACAUUUAUCUCUUUAGUUCCCAAGAAUGGAAGAGCUGAUUCACUAGUAAACUAUUGGCUCAUUUCAUUAUGUAACUUUAUUUAUAAGAUCAUCUUCAAGGUACUGGCAAAUAGAAUGCAAAAUGUUAUGCACAAUAUUAUUAGUCCUCAUCAAGCGGUUUUCAUUAAAGGGAGAAGUAUACAUCAUAAUGUUCUUCUUGCUAGUAACUUGGUAAAGGAUCUACACUAAAAAACAAGAGAGAAAAUAAUCUGUUUUGAAGCUGAUUUACAAGAAAACCUUCGAUUCAGUUAACAUACACUUUCUCUACAAGAUUCUCCUUAGUAUGAGCUUCCCUCAACAAUGGAUUAAUUAGAUUCAAUACUGCUUGGAAACUCUAAAAUUCUCGAUUCUCUUCAAUGGUUCACCUAUUGGCUUUUUUGGGAGCAACAAUGGCAUCUAAUAAGGAGAUCCACUAUCUCUUUAUUUUUUUACAAUUGCAAUGGAAGAACUCAGUUGUAUGUUGGAAGAGGUAGUUUCUAAUGGCAGCAUUAAGGUACCCUAUACUAGUUCCGUUCAUAUAUCCCACAUAACUUUUGUUGAUGAUCUUAUUAUCUUCCUUCAGAAUGAUCAUACUUCUAUGAGGAAUCUAGCUAUUAUUCUAAAAGACUUUAGUAUAGUUUUUGGCCUUAAACUAAACAAUGCAAAAAGUAAAGUCUAUGUGGGUACUUAUAUUGAAGAUAAGGAUUCUAUUGCUCAAACUCUAGGGGUUAGUGAGGAAAAUUUAUCAGUUCCCUAUCUAGGUCUUCCACUCAUAUCCACUGGCAUUAACAAAACCCACUAUCAACCUAUCCUAUAGAAAACAAAGAAUAUGAUUUCUUCUUGAAAAAAUAGACUUCUUCCCAAAGAAGUCCGACUUGAACUCAUCCGAACUAUGUUGCUCCUACUCUAUUUAUUAGACUAAUGCAUUUCUUCUACUUGUUUGGCUUCUCUAGGAUAUUAAAAGACUACUUAUAAACUUCUUCUAGAAUGAAAUGGAUGGUAAUGUAAUGCAUAUGAUAAAUUGCAAGCCGAAAGAUAGAGGGUUGAAUCUAAGAAAUAUUAGAGAUUGGAAUAAAGUUUGUUUAGUAAAGCAAUUAUGGGAUAUUUUAUAAAACAAAUAUUCCUUAUGUUCACAAUGGGUUUCUGCAAUGUAUCUAAGGAAUCAAUCUGGGUAGCUUCGGCAAAAACAUAUCAUUAUGCAGCUUGGAAACAAAUUUUGAAGGCAAGGAAUUGGCUAAUCAAUAACAUUUCCUAUGCAAUCUCUUUUGAGACCAGCACUAAUAUGUGAUAUGGUUCUUGGGUGAAUAGGAAAAGUAUAUUUUAAUUAUUUGGUGAUAGAGUACGACAAGAUCUAGAGGCUCCUAAAGAUUGAAAUGUUUAUGAAUUCAUUGCUAAUGGCACCAGGUAUCUUCCCAAAUCCUACUUCCCUUGGAAUGCUAUCACUUGGCUAAUUAUUAUAGCUGUUCUAAUAUAGAAUAACUCUUCAGAUACACUUAUUUGACUUUAUGACAAUGGUAAAUUUAGUGCUAUAUCUACAUAGAAUCAAAUCAGGCAAAAAAAUAAUAAGUGGAUCCUAAGCAAUUAGACGUGGGAUAGGUCGAGCUCACAGAGACAUUCUUUAUGCACAAGGUAGGCCCUUCAUACCAAACUACCUAUAAUACACAAUAUGAAGAAAAGAGAUAUUUAUCUUAUCAACGGAUGCUCUCUUUAUAUGAAAAAGGAAGAAAGUGUUGACCAUCUCUAUUUUACUUAUGACUACACUAAUUGGGAAAGGAAGGAGAUUUUGAAGAGAUUUGAACUCAAUAGGCUACCAUAGCCAUACUUGAAUCAAGAAUUAUAAAAGCUCUUGUAAAGUUUCUUAAGAAAAUGACCUCUUAAACAACUGAUAAAUAUUACUUUCAGAUGUGCUAUUUAGUAGAUUUGGAAGGAGAGGUGUGAUAGAAUCUUUAAGUCUCAUAAUACAAAUAAUGCUCAACUUUUGAUAGAGAUUCUUAGAGAUUCAAGAACAUGCAUGGAUCAAGAUAUGAAAACGGAGCACUUAAUAAGAAGAGAGAAAGGAAUCUUUAUCAGAUUCAAUUUUUUCAUUAGUUAAUGAUCUCAGGAAUAAUGUUGAAGAGCGAUAUAUAUUAUGUAGUUAUUUGCUUCAAUAAUGUGUGGUAUUUAUGAGUGAUCUAGGCAUGUUUGGCCAUUGCAUUUUAUUAUUUGUUUAUUUAUUGACUACAGUAAGGAGUCAUAGUCUACAGUUUGUGCAGUUAUGACUAUAGUUUCGUUUAACUACUCCUGGAGAUGAGUAUGGUAGAGUGAGACCAUUUCAACUUUGUGAGGUGGGGUGUACUCUCAUAGACUACUCUAAGAUAUUUUAGGCUUUAGUCUAUGACUAGGGUAGACAAAGCUAUUUUGUACCAACUGUAUACUUAAUACAAUUAUUUUUACUUAAAAAAAAUGACUUAACUCUUAUUUCUUAUGAUGACAAGAUAAUAUUCAUAUUUCAUUUUAAUUGUUAGCCAUCCACAAGCACUACUUACAAAUACUUAUAAUUCAAAAUGGGAGAGAAAAAGUGAAAGCGGGGAUAGCNNNNNNNNNNNNNNNNNNNNAAACAAUAAAUAAUUAAUUAAUGUUGAAAUUAAAUUCGAACAUUCUCAUGAUUCUUAUAGUACACAUAUUUUAUUUAAAAUUAUUAUAAAAAUAUUUUUAUUUUUAAUAAGGCUCAUCAAAUUUAAUUUAUUUCUUAUUCAUUCUUGCUAAUUUGUAAUAGUGAAUUUAAUGUGUAUAUUCAUUUUUUUUUACUAUAUGCGCUUACAUGAGGGGGCAACAACCCUCCAAUGAGUAGCAAAGGAGGAAUGAUUGCUAUUAUGGGAUAUGGCAGGAGUGCGAUGACCAUGUUGAGGGUGUCGAUCAUAGGAGGUCACUGGCCCUACCAUGGGUAACUAUUGCAGUAAUAAUUAUGGUACUGUGUGCGAUGAAUCAAGGGUAUGACAGCCCUGUUAAGGGUGGUGAUUGUCAAAGCCAUCAUGAUGAUAGCUUGAUUAAGAACUCCGGGAUGCAGGGGAUGGUGUAAUGUCAGACAUCAUGAUGUAAAGCCACAAGUAGCAUCGUCCAUAGUUGCUAGGGUUGUGAGGUGACAAAUGUAGGGCUCAAUGGGGUUGGGGUUGGGGUUGGUGAUUUGCUAGCAAUGUUGCAUCAUUAAUAAGGUUGUGGCAAUUAGAAGGUCAUGUGAUGGCUUUGCACCAUCGAGAAAAAUAACUUUAUUGAGCUAAAAAUUAUACUUGUUAAAUUUGAAAUAUAGUUAAAUAAAAUCAUAUAAACGAAUGCAUAUAAUUAGAAUCUAUAAGCAUAUAUGCAAGCAUAUCACGAAGUGUAAUUAUACCUUAAACGAUAUAUCCCAAGACUUUGGCAUCUUGAUGGGUGAGUGCACAUAUCCUCACCUGAGCUACCCCUCUAUGUUAAUAUUGUCUAGAUAUUUUGUGUGGAGCUUGGCGUUGAUAUUACUUUCGUGAGUAGUCCUUCGACAUGUGCCCUGAUUAUUGACAAAAAAAGGUGUACAUGUUAUCCAAUGAGGCAUGAGGUAGAAACAUGAUUAGCCUUUCCACAUAAGUAACAUUUUAUAACAACUUGAUUAUUGGGAGCUACUGCUUUAUUCUCGGUGACUAUAAUACUAUUCAGUACACAAAUUAAAAAGUGGGGGGUAGAUCGCUUUCAGAAAGCCAGUUUUAAAGUUUUAAUGAUUAUAUAGAUACUACUGCAUUGAUUAAUAUGAAAUCUAUAGGUGAUUGGCUCUCAUGGAGUAAUCAAGGUGCUGCCCAUAGAAAAAUUAUGGAUUAACUAGACAACCAUUUGAUUAAUCAAGAAUGGUUAACCGUUUACCCUGAUUCACUUCUUGAGUUUGGUGCUUAGUUGUUGUCACAUCACUCUAUAAUACAUAUAUAUGCAGAUAAAGCAAUACCCAGGCAAGAAACCUUUUAGAUUCCUUAGGAGUACACACCCUCGGUUCCUCGAGAUUGUCAGAUCAGCUUGGAACAUUAAUGUGCAUAAUUCUCCCCCUUGCAUCUUAUGCCAAAAGCUAAAAAUAUAUAAAGCAAUACUUAAUGAGUGAAAUACAAACAUCUUUGGUGAUAUUAUCACCCGGGUCGAGUUAUGCAAAAAAAAAACUUAUGGCGGUACAACAUGAGCUGCAUCUUCAGCUCCAUGAUGAAAAUCUUAUCUGCAAAGAGGUAGAAGCCAGAGAUAACUUUAUGCAAGCUCUAAAACAAGAGGAAAGCUUUCUAAAACAUAAGUCUCGAUACCAUUGGCUUACUCUAGGGGACUCCAAUACUAAAUUUUUUUAUGUUGCCAUUGCUACUAAAAAGACCAUUAAAUGCAUCAGGAAAUGUAAGGAUGAAGAUGGUAAUCUUAUUGAGGAUUUGAAUGAGGUUAAAGCACAUAAUGAGCAAUUUUUUUAAUUCUUUACUCAAUAAGAGGAGCAGCUUAAUAGUAUUCAUAUAGAGCCUGCUAGAAAGCUUAAUUCGGAAGCUAUCUCAAUCCUUAAUGCCCCAAUUACAGAUAAAGAAAUUGUGAAGUUAUCUUUAAGUUAUUGAAACACAAAAGUCCUAGUUCGGAUAGAUUUUCAAUUGAAUUUUAUCAAGUUGCAUGAUCUAUUAUAGGCAAUGAUGUGAUAAAAGUUUAUUAACAUUGUUUCUCUUUAUGCUGUAUUUUUAAAGAAAUGAAUUACACUUUUAUCUCUUUAGUUCCCAAGAAUACAAGGGUUGAUUCACUAGUAAACUAUUGGCUCAUUUCAUUAUGUAACUUUAUUUAUAAGAUCAUCUUCAAGGUGCUAGCAAAUAUAAUGAAAAAUAUUAUGCACAAUAUUAUUAGUCCUCAUCAAGUGGUUUUCAUUAAAGGGAAAAGUAUACAUCAUCAUGUUCUUCUUGCUAAUGACUUAGUAAAGGAUCUACACUCAAAAACAAGAGAGAAAAAAAUCUGUUUUAAAGAUAAUUUACGAAAAACCUUUGAUUCAGUUAACAUACACUUUAUCUACAAGAUUCUCCUUAGUAUGAGCUUCCCUCAACAAUGGGUUAAUUGGAUUCAAUACUACUUGGAAGCUCCAAAAUUCUCGGUUCUCUUAAAUGGUUCACCUAUUGGCUUUUUUGGUAGUAGCAAUGGCAUCUGACAAGGAGAUCCACUAUCUCCUUAUUUCUUUACGAUUGCAAUGGAUGGACUUAGUUGUAUGUUAGAAGAGGUAGUUUCUAAUGGCAGCAUUAAGGUACCCUAUACUAGUUUCGUUCAUAUAUCCCAUAUAACUUUUGCUGAUGAUUUUAUUACCUUUUUCAGAAUAAUCUAACUUCUGUGAGGAAUCUAGCUAUUAUUUUAAAAGACUUUAGUGUAGUUUUUGGCCUUAAACUAAUUCAUGCGAAAGGUAAAGUCUAUGUGGGUGCUUGUAUUAAAGAUAAGGAUUCUAUUGCUCAAACUCUAAGGGUUAGUGAGGAAAAUUUAUCAGUUCCUUAUCUGAUUCUUUCACUCAUAUUCACUGGCAUUAACAAAAUCCACUAUCAGCCUAUCCUAUAGAAAACAAAGAAUAUGAUUUCUUCUUGAAAAAAUAGACUUCUUCCCAAAAUAGUCCGACUUAAACUCAUCCGAACUAUGUUGCUUCUACUCUAUUGAUUAGUUUAAUGUAUUUUUUCUGCCUGUUUGGCUUCUCUAGGAUAUCAAAAGACUACUUAUAAAUUUUUUCUGGAAUGACAUGGAUGUUAAUGUAAUGCAUAUGAUAAAUUUCAUGCCGAAAGAUAAAGGGUUGAAUCUAAGAAAUAUUAGAGAUUGGAAUAAAGUUUGUUUAGUAAAGCAAUUGCGGAAUAUUUUAUAAAAUAAAUAUUCCUUAUCUUCAUAAUGGGUUUCUGCUAGGUAUCUAUCCAAAGAAUCAAGCUGGGUAGCUUCAGCAAAAACAUAUCAUUCUAUAGCUUGGAAACAAAUUUUGAAGGCAAAGAAUUGGCUAAUCGAUAAUAUUUCCUAUGCAAUCUCUUUUGGGACCAGCACUAAUAUGUGAUUUGGUUCUUGGGUGAAUGGAAAAAGUAUAUUUUAAUUAUUUGACGAUAGAGUACGACAAGAUCUAAAGGCUCCUAAAGAUUAGAAUGAUUAUUAAUUCAUUGCUAAUGACAUAUGGUGUCUUCCCAAUCCUACUUGAAAUGCUAUCACUUUGGCUGAUUAUUAUAGCUAUUCUAAUAUGAAACAACUCUUCAGAUAUACUUAUUUGGCUUUGUAAUAAUGAUAAAUUUAGUGCUACAUCUACAUAAAAUCAUAUCAUGCAAAAAAAUAAUAAAUGGAUCCUAAGAAAUUAGACAUGGGAUGGGUCGAGCUCAUAGAGACAUUCCUUAUACACAUGACAGGCCCUUCAUACCAUACUACCUAAAAUAGAAAAUAUAAAGAAAAGAGGUAUUUAUCUUAUCAAUCGAUGCUCUCUUUGUAUGUAAAAGGAAGAAAGUGUUGAACAUCUCUAUUUUGCUUAUGACUACACUAAUUGGGAAAGGAAGGAGAUUUUGAAGAGAUUUGAACUCAAUAUGCUACCAUAGUCAAACUUGAAUCAAGAAUUAUAAAAGCUCAUGCAAAGUUUCUCAAGAAAAUGGCCUCUUAAACAACUAGUAAAUAUUACUUUCAGAUGUGCUAUUUAGUAGAUUUAGAAAGAGAGGUGUGACAUAAUCUUUGAGUCUUACAACACAAAUAAUGCUCAACUUUUGAUAGAGAUUCUUAGAGACUCGAGAACAUGCAUAGAUCAAGAUCUGAAAAUAGAGCACUUAACAAGAAGAGAGAAAGUAAUCUUUAUUAGAUUCAAUUUUUUCAUUAAUUAAUGAUCUCAGGAAUAAUGUUGAAGAGUGAUAUGUAUUCCAUGGUUAUUUGCUUCAAUAAUGUGAUGUAUUUAUGAGUGGUCCAGGCAUGUUUGGCCAUUGUAUUUUAUUAUUUAUUUAUUUAUUGACUAUAGUAAGGAGUCAUAGUCUACAGUUUGUGUAGUCAUAACUACAUUUUAGUUUGACUACUCCUGGAGAUGAGUCUGUUAGAGUGAGAUCAUUUUAACUUUCUAAGGUUGGGUGCACUCUUAUAGACUACUCUAAGAGAUUUUAGGCUUUAGUCUAUGGCUAAUGUAGACAAAGCUAUUUUGUACAAACUUUAUACUUAAUACAAUUACUUUUACUUUUAAAAAAAAGACUUAACACUUGUUUCUUAUGAUGACAAGAUAAUAUUCAUAUUUCAUCUUAAUUGGCAACCAUCCACAAGCAACAUUUACAAAUACUUACGAUACAUAAUAGGAUAUUAAUAACAAUAACAGCGGGGAUAGCUCAGUUGGGAGAGCAUUAGACUAAAGAUCUGAUGGCUGCGUGUUCAAUCCACGCUCACCGUAUUAUUUUAUUAUAGUUUUACUUGCAAAAAAAAAGGGAUACAAGAAGCAGUAAAGAAUUAAUUAAUGUUGAAAUUAAAUUCGAACAUUCUCAUGAUUCUUCGAGUACACAUAUUUUAUUUAAAAUUAUUAUAAAAAAAAUUAUUUUUAAUAAGGCUCAACAAAUUUAAUUUAUUUCCUAUUCAUUCUUGCUAAUUUGUAAUAGUGAAUUUAAUGUAUAUAUUCUUUUUCUUUUACUAUGUGCGCUAGCAUGAGGGGGCAACAACCCUCCCAUAAGUAGCGAUGGAGGAAUGAUUGCUAUUAUGGGAUAUGGUAGGAGCGCGACGACCAUGUUGAUAGUGUCGAUCGUAGGAGGUCACUGGCCCUACCAUGGGCAACUAUUGCACAAAUAAUUAUGGUGCUAUGUGGAUGAAUCAAGAGUGUGACAGCCUUGUUAAGGAUGGUGAUUAUUGAAGGCAUCAUGAUGAUAGCUUGAUUAAGGACUCCGGGAUGCAGGUGAUGGUGCAAUGUCAGACAUCACGAUGUAAAGCCACAAGCAGCAUCGUCCAUAGUUGCUAGGGUUGUGAGGUGACAAAUGUAGGGCUCAAUGGGGUUGGGGUUGGGGUUGGGGUUGGUGAUUUGCUAGCAAUGUUGCAUCAUCAAUAAGGAUGUUGCAAUGAGAAGGUCAUGUGAUGGUUUUGCACCAUCGAGAAACAUAACUUCAUUGAGCUAAAAAUUAUACUUGUUAAAUUUGAAAUAUAGUUAAAUAAGAUCAUAUAAAAGAAUGAGUAUAAUUGGAAUCUAUAAGCAUAUAUGCAAGCAUAUCACGAAGUGUAAUUAUACCUUAAACGAUAUAUCCCGAGACUUCGACAUCUUGAUGGGUGAGUGCACAGAUCCUCACCUGAGCUCCCCCUCUAUGUUAAUAUUGUCUAGAUAUUUCGUGUGGAGCUUGGCGUUGAUAUUACUUUCGUGAGUAGUCCUUCGACAUGUGCCCUGAUUAUUGACAAAAAAAGGUGUACAUGUUAUCCAAUGAGGCAUGAGGUAGAAACAUGAUCAGCCUUUCCACAUAAGUAACAUUUUAUAACAACUUGAUUAUUGGGAGCUACUGCUUUAUUCUCGGUGACUAUAAUACUAUUCAGUACACAAAUUAAAAAGUGGGGGGUAGAUCGUUUUCAGAAAGCCAGUUUUAAAGUUUUAAUGAUUAUAUAGAUACUACUGCAUUGAUUAAUAUGAAAUCUAUAGGUGAUUGGCUCUCAUGGAGUAAUCAAGAUGCUGCCCAUAGAAACCUUUUAGAUUCCUUAACACGUGGACUACUCACCCUUAGUUCCUCGAAGUUAUUAGAUCAGCUUGGAACGUUAAUGUGCAUAGUUCUCCCCCUUACAUCUUAUGCCAAAAGCUAAAAACAUGUAAAGCAAUACUUAAUAAGUGAAAUACAAACACCUUUGGUAAUAUUAUCACCUGGGUCGAGUUAUACAAAAAUAAACUAAUGACGGUGCAACAUGAGCUGCAUCUUCAGCUCCUUGAUGAGAAUCUUAUCUGCAAAGAGGCAGAAGCAAAGAGACAGAAGCCAGAGAUAACUUUAAGUCAUCGAAUCUUAUCUAAAACAAAGUCUCGACAGCAUUGUGAGAGUUCUCUUUAAGUCAUCGAAACACAAAAGUCCUAGUUCGAAUGGAUUUUCAGUUGAAUUUUAUCUAAUUGCAUGAUCUAUCAUAGGCAAUGAUGUGAUUAAAGCUUGUUAACACCUUUUCUCAUUAGGUCAUAUUCUUAAAGAAAUGAAUUACAUUUUUAUCUCUUUAUUUCCCAAGAAUGCAAGGGCUGAUUCACUAGUAAACUAUUGGCUCAUUUCAUUAUGUAACUUUAUUUAUAAGAUCAUCUUCAAGGUGCUGGCAAAUAGAAUACAAAAGGUUAUGCACAAUAUUAUUAGUCCUCAUCAUACAAUUUUUAUUAAAGGGAGAAGUAUACAUCAUAAUGUUCUUCUUGCUAAUGACUUAGUAAAGGAUCUGCACUCAAAAACAGGAGAGAAAAAAAUCUGCUUUAAAGUUGAUUUAUGAAAAACCUUCGAUUCAAUUAACAUAUACUUUAUCUACAAGAUACUCCUUAGUAUGAGCUUCCCUCAACAAUGGGUUAAUUAGAUUCAAUACUGCUUGGAAACUCUAAAAUUCUCGAUUUUCUUCAAUGGUUCGCCUAUUGGCUUUUUUGGAGUAGCAAUGGCAUCUGACAAGGAGAUCCACUAUCUCCUUAUUUCUUUACAAUUGCAAUGGAAGGACUCAGUUGUAUGUUGGAAGAGGUAGUUUGUAAUGGCAACAUUCAGGUACCCUAUACUAGCUCUAUUCAUUUAUCCCACGUAACUUUUGCUAAUGAACUUAUUAUUUUCCUUCAAAAUGAUCCUACUUUUGUGAGGAUUCUAACUAUUAUUCUAAAAGACUUUAGUAUAGUUUUUGGUCUUAAACUAAAUCAUGCAAAAAGUAAAGUCUAUGUGGGUGCUUGUAUUGAAGAUAAAGAUUCUAUUGCUCAAACUCUAGGGGUUAGUGAGGAAAUUUUAUUAUUUCCUUAUUUAGGUCUUCCACUCAUAUCCAUUGGCAUUAACAAAACCCACUGUCAGCCUAUCCUAUAGAAAAUAAAGAAUAGGAUUUCUUAUUGAAAAAAUAGACUUCUUCCCAAAGAAGUCCGACUUGAACUCAUCUGAACUAUGUUGCUCCUAUUUUAUUUAUUAGUCUAAUGCAUUUCUUCAGCCUGUUUGGCUUCUCCAGGAUAUUGAAAUACUAUUCAUAAUCUUAUUCUGGAAUGAUAUGAAUGGUAAUGUAAUGCAUAUGAUAAAUUGCUAGCCGAAAGAUGGAGGGUUUAAUCUAAGAAAUAUUAUAGAUUCGAAUAAAGUUUGUUUAGUAAAGAAAUUAUGGGAUAUUUUAUAAAAUAAAUAUUCCUUAAGUUCACAGUAGGUUUCUGCUAGUUAUCUAUCCAAGGAAUCAAUCUGGGUAGCUUCAGUAAAAACAUAUCAUUCUACAACUUGGAAACAAAUUUUGAAGGCAAGGAAUUAGCUAAUCAACAACAUUUCCUAUGCAAUCUCUUUUGAGACCAGCAUCACCCAAGUCGAGUUAUGCAAAAAUAAACUUAUGGCGGUGCAACGUGAGCUACAUUUUCAGCUCCUUGAUGAGAAUCUUAUCUGCAAGAAGGCAGAAGCCGGAGAUAACUUUAUGCAAGCUCUAAAACAAGAGGAAAUCUUUCUAAAACAAAAGUCUCAACAGCAUUGGCUUACUCUAGGGGACGCUAAUACUAAAUUUUUCUAUGCUCCCAUUCUACUAGAAAGGCCAUUAACCGCAUCAAGAAAUGUAAAGACAAAUAUGGUAAUCUUAUUGAGGAUUUGGAUGAGGUUAAAGCAUACAUUGAGUAAUUUUUUUAUUCAUUACUCAAUAAGAGGAGCAGCCUAGCAGUAUUCAUAUAGAGUAUACUAGAAAGCUUGAUUCGGAAGCUAUCUCAACCCUUAAUGCCCCAAUUACAGAUGAAAAAAUUAUGAGAGUUAUCUUUAAGUCAUCGAAACAUAAAAGUCCUAGUUCGGACGGAUUUUCAGUUGAAUUUUAUCUAAUUGCAUGAUCAAUGGUAGGCAAUGAUCUGAUUAAAGCUUGUUAACACCUUUUCUUUUUAGGUUGUAUUCUUAAAGAAAUGAAUUGUACUUUUUUUCUUUGGUUCCCAAGAAUGCAAGGACUGAUUCAUUAGUGAACAAUUGGCUCAUUUCAUUAUGUAACUUUAUUUAUAAGAUCAUCUUCAAGGUGCUGGCAAAUAUAAUAUAAAAGAUUAUGCAUAAUAUUAUUAGUCCUAAUUAGGCAAUUUUCAUUAAAGGGAGAAGUAUACAUCAUAAUGUUCUUCUUGCUAAUGACUUAGUAAAGGAUCUGCACUCAAAAACAAGAGAGAAAAAAAUCUGUUUUAAAGUUGAUUUACGAAAAUCCUUCGAUUCAGUUAACAUACACUUUAUCGACAAGAUGCUCCUUAGUAUGAGCUUCCCUAAAAAAUGGAUUAAUUGGAUUUAAUACUGUUUGGAAACUCUAAAAUUCUCGUUUCUCUUCAAUGGUUCACCUACUUGCUUUUUUGGGAGAAGCAAUGACAUUUGACAAGGAGAUCCACUAUCUCCUUAUUUCUUUACAAUUACAAUGGAAGGACUUAGUUGCAUAUUGGAAGAGGUAGUUUCUAAUGGCAACAUUAAGGUACCCUAUACUAGUUCCAUUCAUAUAUCCCACAUAACUUUUGUUUAUGUUAUUAUUAUCUUCCUUCAGAAUCACAGAUGAAUCUAGCUGUUAUUCUAAAAGACUUUGGUAUAGUUUUUGGUCUUAAACUAAAUCAUGUGAAAAGUAAAGUCUAUGUGAGUGCUUGCACUAAAAAUAAGGAUUCUAUUACUCAAACUCUAGGGGUUAGUGAGGAAAAUUUAUCAGUUCCUUAUCCUAGUCUUCCACUCAUUCACAAGCAUUAACAAAACCCCACUAUUAGCCUAUCCCGUAGAAAAUAAAGAAUAAGAUUUUUUCUUGAAAAAAUAGACUUCUUCCCAAAGAAUGAUGACUUGAACUCAUCCGAUCUGUUUUGCUCCUACUCUAUUUAUUAGUCUAAUGCAUUUGUUCUACAUGUUUGGCUUUUCCAAGAUAUUGAAAGACUACUUAUGAACUUUAUUUGGAAUGACACAAAUGGUAAGGCAACACAUAUGAUAAAUUGGGAUAGCAUUUGCAACCCAAAAGAUGAAGGGCGAUUGAAUCUAAGAAAUAUUAGAUAUUGGAAUAAAGCUUGUUUAGUAAAGCAAUUGUGAGAUAUUUUAUAAAACAAAUAUUCCUUAUGUUCAUAAUGGAUUUCUGCUAGGUAUCUAUCCAUAGAAUCAAUCUGGGUAGCUUUAGCAAAAACAUAUCAUUCUGUUGCUUGGAAACAAAUUUUAAAGGCAAGGAAUUGAUUGGCUAAUCAACAACAUUUCCUAUGCAAACUCUUUUGGAAUCAACACUAAUAUGUGAUAUGAUCCUUGUGUGAAUAGAAAAAGUAUAUUUCAAUUAUUUAGUGAUAGAGUACAAUAAGAUCUAGAAGCUCCCAAAGAUUGGAAGGUUUAUGAAUUCAUCGCUAAUGGCACUUGGUGUCUUCCCAAUCCUACUUUUCCUGAAAUGUUAUCACUUUGGCCGAUUACUAUAGCUAUUCUAAUAUGGAACAACUCUUUAGAUACACUUAUUUGGCUUUAUGACAUUGGUAAAUUUAGUAUUACAUCUACAUGGAAUCAAAUCAAGCAAAAAAACAACAAGUGGAUCCUAAGCUCAACUUUGGUAGAUUUGAAAGGAGAGGUGUGGUAGAAUUUUCAAGUAUCUCGAUAUAAAUAAUGCUCAACUUUUGAUAAAGAUUCUUAGAGACCCAAGAAUAUGCAUGGAGCAAGAUCCAAAAACGGAGCACUUAAUAAAAAGAGAGAAAGGAAUCUUUAUCGGAUUUAAUUUUUUUAUUAGUUAAUGAUCUCAGGAAUGAUAUUGAAAAGCGGUAUGUAUUCCAUGGUUUUAUGCUUCAAUAAUGUGAUGUAUUUAUGAGUGGUCUAGGCAUGUCUAGCCAUUGUAUUUUAUUAUUUAUUUAUUUAUAAGAGUCAUAGUCUACAGCUUGUGUAGUCAUCACUAUAUUUUUGUUUGACUACUCUUGGAGAUGAGUUUAGUAGAGUGAGAUCAUUCCACCUUUCUUCUAGACCGGAGAUGGGUGUACUCUUCUAGACUACUCUAAGAGAUUUUAGGCUUUAGUCUAUGGCUUAUGUAGACAAAAUUAUUUGGUACAAACUUCAUACUUAAUACAAUUACUUGUACUUUAAAAAAAAUAGACUUGACCCUUAGCCCUUGUCUCUUAUGAUAACAAGAUAAUAUUAAUAUCUCAUCUCAAAUGGUAACCAUCGACAAGCACUACUUACAUGUAUUUAAGAUUCAUAAGGGGAAGCAAGAAGCAGCAAAGAAUUAAUCAAUGUUGAAAUCAAAUUCGAAAAUUUUCAUCUUAGAGUACACAUAUUUUAUUUAAAAUUAUUAUAUAAAAGAUUUUUAUUUUCAAUAAGGCUCAUCAAAUUUAAUUUAUUCCCUAUUCAUUCUUCCUAAUUCGUAAUAAUGAAUUUGAUAUGCAUAUUUAUUUAUUUUUUACUAUGUGCGUGAGCAUGAGGGGGCAACAACCCUCACAUAAGUAGCGAAAGAGGAAUGAUUGCUAUUAUGGGAUAUGGUAGGAGUGCGAUGACCUUGUUGAGAGUGUUGAUAGAGGUCACUGGCUCUACCAUGGGCAACUAUUGCAUAAAUAAUUGUGGUGCUGUGUGCGAUGAUUCAAGGGUGCGAUAAACGAUGGUGAUUGUCGAAGGCAUCAUAACGAUAGCUUGAUUAAGGACUACGGGAUGCAGGUGAUGGUGUAAUGUUAGACAUCACGAUUUAAAGCCACAAGCAGCAUUGUCCAUAGUCAUCAAUAAGGAUGUAGCAAUGAACAGGUCAUGUUAUGGCUUUGCACUAUAGAAGAAAUCCGUACAAAAGCCACCUUGAAAUUUUGACCUAGUUUAAUCAAAAUCAAAUGUUGACCCAAUCCAAACCAUUUUGAUAUUUUGUCCUAGUCAAAAUCUAUUUUUGAUCAUAUUUUGACCUAAUUUGGGAUUUUAGAUCUUGAGUGGAUUUUGAUUUUGAUUUUGACUUGACCAAAAUCUAAUUUUGGAUCAAAUCCUGAUUUUUUACCCUAAUCAAUUCUAUCGUUGACCAAUUUGCCAAAUUGGAUUUUACCUAAUUUUUAUUUUAGGUCAAUUAGAUUUUGAUAGCUCAAAAUUCAAUUUUAAUUGUUUACUUUGACUUGCUUAAUUGUUUGGGUAGGCUAUUGGUUUAAUCUAAGGUGACUCGAUCAAUUUGGUCUGGUUUGGAUAGUCCAAUUAUGGGUUUACUCGAUAAAAUAUGAUUGAUUGACCAUUUAGAUAUUUUAUAAUUUUUUUAAAAAAUAUAAAUCAUAAAUUUCUUAUAUAAUUUUCUAAUAUGAUAUAUUAGUAAAAUUUUUGUUUAUGGUCCUUAAAUUCUAAUUAUUAUUCUUGGAUAUUUAUAGUUAUUUAUAUAUUUAAUAAUUAUAAAUAAUAUUUAUUUUUUAUAUAAGAGUAUGAUUUAUGUUUUAUAAUGAUUAUAGUUAUCAUACUAUUUUUUUAGCUGAUUAAUAUUUAAUAAUUAUUAUAAUUAUUAUUUUAGUAUUAUUAAGUUAAUUUUGUAUAAAUUAGAUUAAUAAAAAAUUAAUAAAUAUUAUUUAAAACUUAUAUCUUUAAAUUUUAUUUAAUUAAUAGAUACCAAAGUGACCUGAUGUGGUUUUGAUAAGAAUAUAAUUAUCCUUUAGUACAUGUACGCCAAAUAACAAGUAUACCAUGUUAAUAAUCACCUUAACAAAAAGUAUUCCCCAAAUCACGGUUUGGACAAUAUUUCCUUUGGAAAUUAUUUUCUUUUACUGCUUGAAUCAACUAUAAAUAAAAUAUACUUCAUUUAUUUUCGUUUCUUUUUUCACUCUCCUUAUACUCCACUUUUUUUUUUUUUCGCUCUCCUCUCACUCCAUCUAAAAGUUUCACUUGGGUACAACAACUUUACCUCUAAGCUAAUUCUUCGUUACUAUGUUACUAUGUAUCUAAAGGAACAUUUCACUUGGGUAUAACAACUUUACCUCUUAAGCUAAUUCUUCGUUGCUAUACUACUAUGCAUCUAAAGGAACAUUCCACUUGGGUACAACUUUACCUCUAAGCUAAUGUGUAUCUAAAGGAACAAGUCAAGAAAGCUUAACAUUUCAAACAAAUUUUAGAGAAUGUAUUUUGUUGGGUACAACAACUUUACUAUAAUUAAGAAGAUUAUUUUAUUAUAAUUAUGACCUAAGUGUUGGUAAGACUAUAAGGUAUAUCCCAUAGGAGUUAAUGUCCCUUGAACUUUAUACGAUUACAAUAGAAUGCGGCCAUUUAGUGACAUAUUCUAAAGGAGAUCGUUUCAUAAAGGUCACAUAUGUAUUAGAAUCAUUGCGCACCUUUUCAACCAGUAGAAAUCAAGACCAUGAGACUAUUCUUUUUCAUGUCAUAACUCUUUACUCCGUGAAUAUUGUACAUUCUUUCAACUCUUACAUCUCCUCGCUCACGAUAACUCAAUUUGCCUCUUAAAACAUCAUGUUUAGAAUUUUCAAUUUUCACUCAUUCUAACUACUAGUUUUUAUUAGUUCCCAAAGUAUUCCAUCAAAUACACAAUAAUAAGAACUAUGUCCAAGGUGUUGCAUGAGGUUUUUUCGACUUCACACCGAAUAUAAUUUAUGAAACUUAUUUUUUAUUCCUUCUUGACAUCACCUUCUGUAGUUUUCAAUAAUUUUACUGAACUCAAAAUCAUACUAACUCAGAAGAAUUGUGUCCAAACUGGAACGGAAACACAAAAUCUAGGUGUAACAUCAUGGAUUUGCCUGAACCAUUUUGGUUCCAGUUGCAGCCCUGUGGGGUAAUCCAGUCAUGUGAAGGAAGAACUGAGCUUACCCUCUUCAGGGGAGUUAUGUUGUGCCACCAGCACUCUAAUCACAUGAGGAGGGACAUGCCAUGAUGGAUUCUGUCAUCCACCUAUAUAGUUUGUUGUAUGUACAGACUGUCAUCAUCCUUAAGGUCUUGGUUGGCAGUCAUAUGGAUCCAAAUCUUUCAACACAGCUUGGAAGUCAAAAUGACUAUGGCUUCGCUUUACAAUUCAAUUCUCCACAAUUCUCACCUACAGCAGUCAUCCUCCAUGAGAUUUUCAAUGAUAUAAAAAGGAAAAGGGGUACUCCAUAGUCUACAGCAUUAGUAUAGAAGAUUAGGGAGAUUGCAUCAAGCAGCAAGACCUUCAAGGAGAGCUCUCCUCCUUGUUGCCAGUUCCAUGUAUUCGGUAAGAAUGGCAGGAAAGCAGCCCUAUUUGUCCUUCAUCAGCGUAGCCAUACUGUCAACACCUAAAAACAACCCAAGCUGAUCAAGAACAGAAAAUACAAAGUCGGAUUAGCAAAGGGAGUUGCAACGAUGAGAGUAUCAGUACCUGCCAAGAUGAUGGCCAUGUAGGAAAAAUAAAAGAUCACCGAGUUGACAAAACUUGGGCUAAUGAUUUCCACAUCACAUAAGAUCAGCAACAAGAGCAAGAGACCUUUGAAAUAGUCCAAGCAACAGAUAGAACUUCAAUUUGGCUAGUAAACCAACACACUACAAACAUGAUUACUCCAAACUUUAUUGCUGCCGUAGCAGAUUUUCAAGCACACAAGAAAGGAAAAGAACAUAGAUGAUUUAAUCAAGUAUUAAAGCUAUCUCAUACCUUUAUUCAAUGGAAUAGAAUCUAAAUCUCUUCAAUUUCAAGCCAUCAAAUAUGCUAGUUAAAGAAAACCAAAUAUAUAGAAUGGACUUCAUUGUGGUCUAGUUGCUACAUUGAGCUCCAUCCUUUCCGUUGCUUUGAGUCAGAUGCCAAUCUUCUCAGUCAAGGUGCAAACUAGGCAAACUUUGCUCGAUGUUCUCUUGGAGCCUAAGCUAUUUCUACUACAAACAGAAUUCCAUAUCUAUCAUACCCAUGUAAAACCUACACUAGCCAGUCACUAAGUGGCAACCAUUUUAUUUCCUAUACUUGAAUGCUGUAACAAGUAAAAGAAGUGCCAUCAAGGCUAGACUAAUAUAUUAACACAGCAUCCAGAAAAGUGUGAGGUGUCAGAGAACAAUGGGCAACUGCCUUGUCUCCUCAAAAAUAUUUUACUCAAGAAAGUUUCUCCAAAUCACAAUAAAUCUAAAACAACACAGAUCAAAACAAAAAAUUUAUAUUCGUCAUGACAAUCCCGGUGAAACAGAAAUCUUAGUGAUACAUUACCGCACAUUACGUAUUCAAUAAUGUUAAACAAGCCAGCCAACUGAUCAUGAUGACCAAAAGAAUUACUGUAACAACAAAAAGAAGGUAGCAAUAUAAGGAACAUUGAAACCACAUACUGGCUGCUUUAUAUUUUCUAAUUUCAUAAACUUGAAUGCCACAAUAAGAAAAGAAGUGCCAUCAAGGCUAGACUAAUAUAUAAACAUAGCAUCCAGAAAAGUGAGGUGUCAGAAAACAAUGGGAAACUGCCUUGACUCCUCAAAAAUAUUUAACUCAAGAAAGUUUCUCCAAAUCACAAUAAAUCUAAAACAACACAGAUCAAAAACAAAAAAUUUAUGUUCAUCACUACAAUCCUAGUGAAACAGUACCAGACAGCAAUCUUAGUGAUACAUUACUACACGUUCGAUGUACAUAUUCAAUAGCGUUAACAAGCCAACCGACUGAUCAUGAUGACCAAAAGAAUCACUGUAACAACAGAAAAAAGACAGCAAUAUAAGGACAUUGAAACCACAUACUAGCUGCUGCUUUUUAUUUUCUAGUAAGGACAUCAUUAAAUUCUCAUAUCACAACAAGCCCUGAACAAUUUACUUAUAAAACUACAACAACCAAAGACAAAUAUCUUCAGACAUGGUUUACAAAAAGGCUUUGAUGCUGCAAUACAAUGGUGUGGUUUUUCUUCAAGGAAUGGUAAGACAACCUUGGAAACUGAAGUUUUAUAACUUUCAUCUAUAAAGGAAAUUGAAAAGAACAAAGUAACAUAAAUGUUUCCUCUUAAUGAGGAGAGAAAAAGUCGAUGCAAGUUUGGAUGUCAUGCUGAUUGCUGAUAUGCAUUUGCUUUAGCUUGCCUGUCUGAUAAUGCCAUAAUGCUUCUCAUCAGUGAAUAGACACCCGAUGUAGGAACUUUGUUGCGCUAGAAGAACAAUAAAACUAUAACAUAUUUAAAAAAUUCUUCAAGCAUUCACAAUCAAUGGCAUCUGUUUUGCAUAUAGCAAGAUUACAAAGAGAGGAAAUAAAUAGGAGAGAGCUAUGCAUGAAUUUAAUAUCUCCACCAAAAGUAUGUUAAGCAUGGGAGUCCAUAUUACAUAAUUUGAUGUGUCAAAAUUGUUAUAUGGCCAAUAAAUAUUGUUACUUAGAUGACAGGAUUAUGGAACAAGUUUAUGCAAAAAAAACUUCAUGGAAACAUACAGUUUGUUGCAUGAACUCCCACAAUGCACAUCCUUAUCACUACAAUGGAGAUGCUCUUUUUGUGACUCAACUCUUAGUCGUCCAAGUCACAAAGGAGCAACUCUAUUGUUAAAAAAAAAGGCCAAAACCUGAAAAUAAAGCUCACAAAAAACACGCCUUCACUAGUUUCAUAUUUUCGAAAAAAAUGGAUAUCUUGAUUUUCCCUUAAAUCACCAAUUUGUUGAUUCUCAGAUGAUUUCCCCAGAUAUCUUAUUUCUCAUGAUAUAACGGAUCAAUCGAGUUAAAGAGGGCAUCCUACCUCAACUCUCGUAAUACCUUCACGUUUUGACACCCUCCAACUUUUAUUUCCACUUUUGUAUGUUAUAUACUUCUAUCCUUUCACAAAUAUUGAUAAAAGGGAAUUGGUAGAAGUUGCCUGUUUUAGAGAGAAAAGGGUGUGGAACAGCAAGUAAGACAAGAAAUAAAAUGGGUGCCUCUCCAAUCAGCUAAAGUUUAAAGAUCAAGAAUUGGAAUAAGAACAACCUAUGGCCACAUUUGGUAUGGGGACUAGGAAUUAUUGGGUUUCUUCAAAAUUUUCAAUUGGGGAUCUGAGUUACAAUGGAAACUCUCAUCCUAUGUUUGGCCACAUUUUGUAAAUCCAACCUAGAAUUUCAAAAAUUAAGCAUCUUUUUUGUUUAGCAAGGGACUCACUGGCAUAUUUUCUUUGGACAAGAAUUUACUCACCGAACCAUGGUUGCAUUCACAAAUAACUGACUGGCCAACAAUACCUCAAGUUUCAGACACAUAACUGAAACUUUUAAACUGUCAAGGUGGAGGUAAGAGGGUGUGUUGGGUGAAUCCUAGGAUUUCAAGGGAUUUAGUUCCAAAUUUUCUCUUUUUUCUGCUUGACUAUGUUAUAAAUCUCAACCUGGAAUUUCAUAUUUUAGUUUUAAACAAUUUCAUGCAUACUUAUGUUUAUCUUACAAUCUUACAAUUUUAAAAACCCUAAACCCCGAGAUUUCCACAUCCCAAGCUCAUCCUGAUGACUCAAAUACCUAGGUUUCAUUAAAUUCUAAGUAACGAUAAUAAAGUAUUAUCGGUGACAUCUUAGGAUAUCAAGGGAAACCCCACUGAAAUCCCUGUUUGGAACCCUAGGGAUUACUAGGAUCUGAUUUCUCUAUAUCAAGUGACCUCUGUUUCAUUCAAGAAGUGAAUUAAAAGCUAGAAAACAUUAAAAAUCUUAGAGAAAGAGAGAGAGAGAGAGAGAGAGAGAGAGAGAGGGGAGGGGGGUGGCAAUGGAGUUCUCUCUCAUUUCUCCUCUUCUCUAACUGCACUUCUUCUCACAUGUCAAUCAACCUGAUCUAAUCAGUUUGAAAGUAGAUAUUGUCAUAUUGAUAGAAUUUAUAAUCCAAUGUCACCAAUAUUGACCCAAUCCAACGAUUUCAAUAUAAAUGGAUCAGAUAUGGAUUGGCAUCUAUUAUGGUGCAUGUGAUCAAACUAAUCAGUUCAUAAGUUGAUUUGAAUCAAUCAAGUGUCUACAACUGCUAUUAGCCUCAAAUAUAUCCUGCACGAAAGCAACAACAAUCAUGUCACUCAAAUAAGUCCAACAAUAACAACAAUGACAGUCUGUUCAAAUUUGAGCCUACAGCAGCAGGUCCAUCUAGACCUCUGGACUAGCUGACUAAGUCCUUUGUCCAAGAAGUCUAAGACUCAAGUCCAGCAUGACCUAGUCCUUUGUCCAAGCAGACUAUAAGUCCAGCCGAUAGCAGAAAGAGAACUUAUGAGUUCCCAAUCACUCCGUUCAGGACAGAGACUGGAUCCUUGUCAGUGCCAAACAAGACUUGCUCAACUCCAAACAAGAGUUGGGAAUUCUUAUGGAUGUCAGACAUUGAUAAACUUCCAAAAAGAAUGUUCAGCUGGGAGAACAGAGAGACAGCAGCAACUUAAGUUACUGCUUAGUUCAUUUUAUUUAAGCUACUUAUAAUAAAAUUGGCAAAAAAAAGCCUUGAAAGACUCUAGUUCUAUGUAUUUCUUAGCAAAUUAUUCAAUUUUGAAGAAUUAGCUGUUCCUGUGCAGUUCAACUAUAAAAUAAAGGCAUUUAAUGACAACAAAAAGCUUACCAAAUAAGAUAAUUAUUGAAAUAUAAUUUAUUUCAUUCAUGAUUUUAAGCAUCAGUUUGAUAUAGCAUAUUCUAUCAAAAAUUUACCGGGUCAGAAUAUGAGAUAAACUAUUAGUCAUUCAAGAUAUUAUUAUCGAUUCACCGUCAUUAUAAACAGAGUACCAAAUAAAUGGGAUGGAAUCAACCAUCCAUUUGAAAUCUAGCAUGCUGUUGACCCAACAGGAUCAGUAUUUGUAAAUAAAAUAGGACUCCUAAAAUAGGACUGCAGAGUUAAAUGGUAAAAUCAAGCUAAGUUGAAAUUCCAGUUCCUGAACAAAAUUCUUUGGUCCAUUGUAGGUUAAUCUUACCUGCAAAUUAACGUCAAUUAAUAAGAAAUUUAACAGUGUAUUAAUAUACAUAGAUAUAACUUCUUCUGAGAGGCUUCCUCAUGAGGAGGAUUAUAGUAAAGCUUGCUUGUGCAUGCAAACCUGCUCUACUAAAACAAGCAAUGAAAAAAAAAACCUUUGCAAGAGAUCAUAUUUAAGCAAAGCACAACACUGUACAUAAUCCCAUCCUACCAUCUGAAAGGUCAAACAGAUCCUAAAAGUUUGCACCAGCAAUUAUUGUUAAUUUCAAGAAUAGAGGUACAAGGGAAAGCUAUGGCUUACCUAUCUGGGAAAAAAUCUUUUCUCCAACAAGCAACCCAAAUCUAAGGAACAAGCCCAAGCUCAUGAUGAAAUUCACAAUAGUCCCACUUCCUCACCAGCAUUAAUCUGCCCCAAAUCCACUCCUUCAUCGAACUGCUCCACCUCAAAGCUCGGACUUGUGGCUACCAUCUCACCUGCCUCCACUGGUCUUAGCUGCUCACCGAGAUCGGUCAACUCCUCAACAGCAUCGGUCCUCGCAUCCUCACUUGAGUCCACUCGCGCCUCAUCCCCACCGCUAUCAGGCUCUCCUUCUCCCCUGGCACCAGCCUCCCCUUCUGCCCCAGAAGAAUCCGCUGUAUCGACAGAUUUCCCAUCGACCCUUGGCUUCAUGUCCGCAUGAACCUUCCGGGACUUUCGGUUCUUCCGCAUCUCCUUGUCCCUCAUCAUGCUGGCUUCCGCUGAACUCUCUCCUUCCGCCGACGCCCGCCGACGUUUCCGGCUGCUGCCACCGUCGCCGUCCUCACCGGCGGACGCAACGUCUUCGUCCGACGACAGCUGCACCACGUGGUUGAGAUUGGUUCCGGGGCUAGGAUUAGCGUUAGGAUACGGAUUAGGAGGAGGGACAGCGGUAGGCAGGGGAGGCGGAGGAGGCCCAGGGUUAGGGUUAGAAUUAGGGCAGGGGUACUGACAAGCAUAAGGCAAAGAGUAAGCGCUGGGAGCAACAGGAUUGAGAUUGGAGCCAGGGUUCGGGCCAGGAGGUACGGCGACGAUCCAGCUCUGACCAUGGACGCCGGCUGCACAGCCGGCGCAGAGGAAAGACCACUCCACGCGGCAGAAGGGGAUGCCGGCCGCCGCCCGGCAGCACUCGCACUCCCUGGGGGCGAUCCCACCGCCGAGACCGGGUGGGUUGCCUCGGCCACCCCGGCCGCGACCGACGCCACCGCUACGGCUCGCCAUCGCGGUCUCCUGGGCUCGUUGGAUGUUGGGGGUCGGGGUUCGGGGACGGGAAAGUCCCGACUCCGAGUUCCUCACGCGCACACGUGGAGGGCUCAUCGUCCACAAAAACUCUAGAUGAGAGGGGGGAGACCGCGGUGGGUCUUGGCGUCCACCGCGGCAGGUCAUAUACCGACGCACCGACUCGGGCGCACUCUCUAAGUCCCGCUCACUCCUGUCACAAGGAACCAGGUUGACGCAAACGAACACCAAAUUUGAUUUCUGUUAAGCCGCUGACUUACGUUAAGCCAUUUAUAAAUCUUACUUUUUUAUUUUAAAAAAAUGAAUAAAAGAACUGUCAAAACAAUAAAAGUAGGGAGAUAAAAAGGUUGAAGGGAGAUAAAAAGGUUGAGAAAUAAUUUGUCCAACGUAAUUGUAUGAUAAGGAUAUAUCAUAUAAGAUAUGUAUAAUGAAGGUGUGAUUUAUGUUAAUAUAAUAAAUUAUAAUAAAAAAUAUACCAACGAAUAUAACGACCCUACGAAGAUUUUUGACUAAAGGUGACGAGAAUAAAAGAACUGUUUUGGUAGGGAGAUAAAAGGUUGAAGGGAGAGGAAGUCAAAAAGAGAGAAGCGCUUUACAGCUGGAAUUAACGAUGGAGGUGAAAGAACAAAAAUUAAUAGAUGAGAAAAAGUAAUUUGUGUUUCCGUUAAUUCUAAUUAUUAAUUAAUGUAAAUACAUUUGGAACAAAUAAUAAGAAAGAUUGGAGUUGAUAUUCGAUCGAUUUUUUACGGUAGGUUUAUAUAGAUUAUUAAAAAAAAUUAGAAUCAAACAUGCAAAUGUAAUUGGGAAAUCACAUUAAAUGGUGCACAAGAUUUGUGUGCUUCAGUCACAAAUUGAGUCAAAUAGUGGUCUGACCCAGUAAUAGGAUAACGAAUCAAUUAGCUAAAUGGCUUGAGGGGUCAAAAUUCUGGUCCAUGUUCGGCUCACAUUUGCAUCACCCAAACAUGGUCAGGUUGUUGGACGCCCUAUACAUCCAUCACUCGAUUCCGUCUCCGUCGAUGCCUCGGCAUGGCUUCCGCUUCAUCACUCUUUCCCUCGCGCCUUCUUCCCAUCCCCGGCCAUGUCCGCGUUGCGGUGUACAGCAAUCCGACGUCCCUUCGUGUCCUUCUCGAGCGACGGCCAAAGGGGGAUGCCAAGGCGCGGAGGGCCCUCUUCCGCGUGGCAGCGGAGGGCAGAAACGGGCUGAAGCAGGACGACGACGGCGGCGGCGGAGUGGACCUGGGGAGGGACCGCCAGCGGCCGGCUUUCAACCUCCGGUGGCGAGAUCUCCUGUCCCCUGACCCCGAGAACAUUGCGGCCGUCGCGUUGACCGGCCUCCUCACCUGGGCCAGCGUCCAGGUCCUCUUCCAGCUCUUCGUCAUCUCCGUUGCUAUCCUCCUUGCGGCCGUCAAGUACUCCUUCGUCGCCGCUCUCCUCCUUAUCAUACUGAUCACCCUCCUUUGAUUUAUAUCCUGAUGUGCUCUCACUAUGUGAAUAGGAGUAGUUCCCACGCAGGAACCAAUUGGAUGGUGUGCUUCGUCAUUUUUUGCUUUAAGUAUGUGGAAUUGGGGGUUUUUUUGCCUUGAGAAAGUUGUUCAUAGAUAAAUUAUAUCUAUAAAUUCUAAUUAAAGAUCCUUGUUGCACUUUGGGUGGACGUUCCUUAAUCAACUAAGAAAAGGGUUUUAAUCAGCUUACUCCAUAAUCUUCGUUAACUCGCACAUUUUUAUCUGGUAGCGCUGAUGUAAGAAAUGUCAUUUUAAACUUCUGUUGGGAAGCAAACUGCAAGACAAUGUUUACCAAAUUGGUUUACAAACUUCUUCACACAGAAGCAAAGCUGUGCUAUCUUUGUUGGGAAAAGAUUGGUAUUAAGUGGACCUUCUAUAGAUUGAGAACAUUCAGAUAUAGAUCCAUUAAAGAUUUACUUCUUGGCUUGGGGAUUGAUUUGGUACUUUUUGUUACUAUUGGUUAUUGUGUGUUAGAAUGGACUCUGGAAGCUGGUUGUUUUGGUGGUAGUGAAUGGAUAUGCACCGCAUGGAGGGCCAAUGCUUUACUAACCUUCUGGAGAUCAGCAGAAACUGUAUGUCAUUCUUUGGAAAUGGAAUCAUUUGAUUUGGGUUUUACACAUGUAAUUGAUUAGUCUAGCAAUUGUUGUUCGGCAGCAAAAUUCUAUGGUAUUUUGGUGGUACAAACAUUUGAUUUGGAUUUGACACCUGUAUUUAAUUAGUAUACAAAUGCAGUUGUUGUUCCACAGCAAAAUUCCAAGGCAGUAAGGACUGGGACUCGUUUAAGUUUAUUCCCAUCAUUUUGGGCUUGGCCUUAAAGUCAAGAAAUUAUGUUGCUCUAAUUUCGUAUCUGAUCUCUGACCAGCAUAUUGUAGUUUAGGCACUAUUGAGGCUGAGACACAAUGAACCAUUCUACCCAUGAAACUCAAGAUAUGCUCCCAAAAUUGGGAUGUACCAACUUGGUUGCUAAUUAGAGACUCUAACCAGCUUAUAUUACUGAGGACGUAGGAACUUGGAACAGGAUCAUGAUUUUAGUUCUUUGCUCGAGUAUCAAUUUUGAUGAGUCCUUUGGAGUAUUCAUUCUGGUAUUCUUGGCUACUUCUGCAUAGAGUUUUUAUAAUACAAAACUAAUAGGUUCUCUUGAUUUUAAAAAAUUAAAAGGUCCUCUGGCAAAACAGAAACAGUAUAUUUUCCUUGCAUGACAAAAGUGGUUUGUAAACCAACUUGAAUGGUUAUACGAUACUGUUAUUUUUUUCUUUUUUUUUAUUUUCUUUGAGAAUUGAGUUAUGCAAAGAUGUGAACCAUUAAUGUAAUCAGAUCAGAUCGCAUUAAUUCAUUGGUGAGAAUGUUUAGGAGCCUUUAGUGUUCCCAAAUAAGCCUGUAUUAGUGAGUUCUGAUAGAUAUUGUAACAAGCACAUUUAUGGUGCUUUCUAUGCCAUCUCUGAGAUUUGAUAAUUUUCUUCUUGUCUAUAUUUUGUAUCAGAACAGGGUUUUCGGGACUAAUUUAUAUUUUGGAGAAGGCUUUUGACAGAUACAUUGCUUUGGUUAUUAACAUCUCUUUGCACUUUCUUUACUGAUUUAUGGAAAGAGUUCUUGGGUCCUUCUCAUUUUGGCAUGCAUGUUAUAUGUUGGUUAAUUAGUUCACGAGUCUGACUAAGGCCACACAUAUUUCUGUUUUGUGGAAAAGUUGUUUAUUUCAACUCCUGUUUAUAAACAAUAUACACAGCAACUUGAUUGUCAAUUAUAAAUUUAAAUAGGGUGGACAAAUUGGCUCCUUCUUGGCGAUGCAAAAGCAAAAACAUGCUAUAUUUUGUUGUGAAGUGGUUGCUAGUGAGUGGUUUUAUUGGAAUAGGAACUGAAUAAAAGUAGACUAUGAAUUUGAUUUAUUUGUCCUAGCAACAAGUGAUUAUGGUUUCUAAUUUUCUAAUAUUUGGUUAUAUGUGUUGUGCCCUAAAUUCCUGUCAGUAAAUCUGAUUUUUCUGUUAUCUUUCAAUAAAUUGAAGGCAGUUAGCCUAUAACAAAACACAAGUUAUGACACUCUCAUAGUUAUUUUGUAUCGCUGUCAUUUAAUACAAAUCAUGUUUGCUUCUUAUCCUCUCUUGUAAAGGUACAUCAAAACACAUUGUCAAUAUGGCUUGCAUGUUUAUGCUUUCUACAUACAACAUAUGAACUAAUGUUAAUUGCAGGAAUUUCCUAUUUACACCUCAGUUUAGUCCUACAUUGGAAUUCUAUAUUGGGAGUGGGCAAACACUAAGAUUGACUUAUAAAUGUAGGUUUAAUGAUUGUAUUAUUAUUAACUUUGGCUUAAACAUUUUAGGUUAGUGGUUUAUACUUAAUGAAGUUAACAAGUCAGUUAUCUCAUUAGGCUAAGUCAUGACAAUUGGUAUCAAUACCGACCUAGUAUUGGGGCAUGGUGAGAGACUUGAGUAGGAAAGGCCUAUCUGUAGACAUGGUCAAAAGGCACAUCACAACAUGGAGCUACUACUGGGCUAAGUCUUACAUGCCCUAUGUUAGGGCUUGAUUCUACACUAUGUUGAAUCUUGACGUUAACAUCAAAUUGUUUAGUGGGGUAGACAGUAGAAGUGGGUAAAGAUUAAGAUUGAUUGUCUAAUAGGUGUACUAUUACUAACUUAUGCACAUUUUGGACCAACGAUGAAGAAUCAACGAAGUUAACAUGCCAAUUAUCAUAAUUAGACUAGCUCAUGACAAUAGGUCAUACAACUAUUUAUUCAAAAUAAAAUGUUUUAAUCCAUAAGUUUUACCUUAUUAAAUGGAUUACAAUUACAGGAAUUGACAAAUUAAAUCUUAGACAUAAAAGCAAUAGAACAUCUCACAUAGGCAACAUCAGAAUUUUGUUUACUGUUAUUCUGUCUUUGUUACAAGUAAACUCAGGACUUGUGACAACUUUCAAAUUGAACAAUCUUUGCUGUUCAGAAAUAUAAAAUAACUAAUUUAAACAUGCAAAGCUCUUCAACAACAAAAACGCUGGAGCUUGGUUGAGCAUUCAUCUAGCUAAGAAACUGAGUUUUGAGUUCAGAGAUUCAAUCUUUGAUCUGUCCGUUCAUAUAGCUAAGAAACUGAGUUUUAAGUUCAAAGAUUCAGUCUUUGAUCUGUCCAUUCGGUUCAUUCAUUGGGUAAGUGGUUCCACUAAAGUAAUACUAAUGUAUAUGGAGUUAUUAUUAUUAAUACGAUUUUGGAAAAUAAACAACGUAUACAAACUGUUCAGAACAUUUUGCAAUGAUAGCAUCUAUGAGGCUGUCAUAAGGACAUUAAGAUGUAUAUUUGACAUAAAUAUGUCAUGAUCUCUUCCUUUCUUUAUAAAAAUAUCUAUUUUUUAACUAUAUAAUUCAGUAGAGACAUGUGAUAAUGAUUCACCCUCUAGUUAAGUUUUGGAAGCAUAAUGACUGUAUAAAAGUGGUUCAGUUGUAACUCAAAACACAUAUGCACCAGAAUGAUAAUGACCAAAAAUAUUGAACGAAGGAAAAAUGAUAUCAAAGAAGAAUGCUUGCUCCUGGAAAGUUAUAAUAAUCGCUGGAAGUGGAAUAUUCAUGUGGUUCAUAAAGGUUCUUCCAUGAAUAUCCAUCUAAGUGUUUGACUUCAUUAACUUAUAUUUGAGUUUGUGCACCUUACAAACUUUUUCAUCCAUUUGAAAUCCCCUCAACUUGUGGAUUUCAACUUGGGCCAGGAAUUCCUUCUAAGUAUGCCUCACACGCAACAGCCCUUUAACUUGAGGAAGUUGGAUUCAACUUGAGAAAAUCAUACAAAAUUUAAAUCAGAUGACUAAGAAUUCUGUGAUUGCAACUGAUUGUAAUAAGUGCAGUCUAUAUAAUUGAAUGCAGAGAGCAUUAUUCUGCCAUAUGCUGUGAUUCCUGUAAUAAGGUAUGAUCUCCAUAAAUGUGUAUCUAUUUUCUGCACUAAAUCAAGUAUAGGAAAUAACCUUGUGAUUCUUAUAAGCUGUUUGAAGAAACUAUUGCGAUAUUAUUGCUGUAUAAUUUUAGUUUACCAUGCUUCUUUUAAUACUUGCCAACAAUUCUUUUCCUCAGUAACAUCCAUUAUUCUCAUAGUUACUUAUAUGUCCAUCUUCAUUGGGACAAGGAUCAUUGCCUUCAUCAAUUGUUGAUGUGUCCAGGUUUAAUACAGCUGAUUCAAAAAUGUUAUAUGACAUAUGAUGCUAUCAGUUUUUUGCAGAUUGGUUGCUCGAAUAGUAAUGCUUUUGAUAGAGGUCGAACUGUUUAUGUCGUUUGGAUUUCUGAAGUUGAAAUUCUAGUACUGAAACUCUUUUCUUCAGUAUCACAAUUUUGAUAUCCCCUUUUUUUUUAUCUCUAUAUCAUUAUUCUAUAAUGGGAAGAAAGAUCUGAAAUAGUAAGGAAGAAAUCUCAUUUUCUGAAAUAGGGAAACUAGAAAUCCCAUUUUCUUUAUUUAUCAUGAAAGUUAUACAGAAAGUGAAUUAGCAUCUAUUCUAGAUUGAUGUAUUUUUUAUACUAUUAAAUUGGUAUAAUAAGCUAAAUUGAGUUGAUUAGUCCAACUGUUGUGGACUAUGAUUUGAUUGUCCUUGGUCAAAUUGAUACCACAAAUCCUUCAAACGAGGUGUGAUUUGUGGACAUAACAUUAUUGCUCUCUUUAUCCUUGGAUACCUAUGAGAAGCAGGGUAUCGGAUGCGGUGAAUUCUAAGGUAAUGGAUACAGCAAUUCAUCAGCUAUAAUCCCUUUAUCCUGCAUUUGCGAUUACAUGGUGACUUGUUUGGAAUGCAGGUUGUCAUUGGAUUUGCGGAACUCAAGAUGCACAGAACGAUGAAACAAGAAGUAAUAGUUUUGAGGACAAGAGUUGCACUUGCAGCCUUGCAAUUUGUUGCAACAAGUUGGUUUCAUGAUGAUGUAGGGUGCAAAAGUAAUCCCAAAUGUGCAUUUGGCCAUCAUAUAAGCUAUCAAAAGUAUUUAAAGGGUGUUAGCUCUAAAAUAUGUUGAAAUUGAAUCGAAAAAAUUGAACUCAAAUUAAACCUAAAUCGAAUUGAUUCAUCAAUAAUUUAAUUUUGAAUAUUAUAAAUGGUUGUAGUUUAGGAUGGUACUUUUUGAUUUGAUUAAUCGAUUUAGAUCGAGUCGAAUUGAUUUUAAUUUAAAAAAUAUUUACUCAACCCAAACAUCUCAAACCUCUAAAAUCUUUUCCAAACUCUUAAGUGUUCAUCAUCUUUCUUUCUUCAUAUCUAUACUUCUUUCACAUCAUCCCUUUCUUAGUCUUACUCUAUCGUCUCAUAUAUAAUCUUUUUUUUUUAUCCUUCUUCGUUAAUAAUUUUUUUGUUGAUUUAUAUGAAUUCCUUUGUUAAUUUGAAUAUAUUGCUUGCAUAUCCUCAUCAUUAAGAAAAAAGGACGGCUUGUGAAGUUGUUAAUUUUCUAGGAUAUCUUUUAAUAUAAAAAUAAAAAAUCACUUGCGUCCAACUGUUUAGAAUAUUUGGAAUGAUAUUUAUGAUAUAAAUUUUUGAGAAUGUAUGUCCAAUUAGAUCAAAAUUUUAGUUUUAUUCAAUUAAACUGAUUGAUUCAUCAAACCUAAUCAGUUCGUUUGAAAUAUAUAUUAAAUUACUUAAAAUUAAAAACUGAUUACUCGAAUCAGAUUAAUCAGUUUUGAACCGAUUCAAUUAGGUACGUCUAAAAUAGUUUUGAUCUGGAGUAUCUUGAUUUAGGGGGGUGAGUGGUGUGGUGUAUGAUGAGCAAAAAUAAAGAGUAUAGUGAGAGAUGAUUGAGUGAAAGAGCUUGGGAAAGAUAAGUGGUAGAAAUGAGAAUAUUAACUUAUAUUUUCAAUCAUAACUUGUCUUCCCAAUCAGUUAACUUUGAUUAGUUUAAGAAAUGACUUAAUAAAUCUAAAUAAGUGUAAAAUAACUAUGUAAAGAUAAUCAAGUGAGGUUAGAAGGCUUGCUUUAGGUGGAAGAGGCGAAAAUAAAGAAUGCUAAGAGUUAGUCAUAAGUCAAAUACAAUUAGGGGUUUAAUCAAUUCUAUUCUUCGAAUUAAUACAUCAUAUAAACUUCAAGGGUAGGGAACAUUUCUUCCGUAAAUAACCCUUAACAUAAAUAAAAUGAUCUAAGACUUUUGGCCUUGAACGUUGAAAUGGUAAUAAAGUGGAUUGUGAUGGUACAGUAGAGGUGAUGGUGCUUAAGGUGGUGGUUAUUGAUAGGGGCUACGUUAACAAUAAUUAAUGAUUUAUAUGAUUGCUCCUUUUCGUGAUGGUGUCACUGCUAUGAUGGCGAUGAUGCUGCUGCGAUGAAAACGAAGGAGAUGGAUGGUGAGAAGAACGAGGGAAUAAGAAGAAGUAAGGAUAGGGUCUCUCGUCCGUCAGGACUAUCUUAUCAUUUAGGUCUCUUACCUAAGGUUCUUCAUGGCUACAAGCACUAAAUUCUUCAUUUAUUUAUUUCAAAAUAUGGAGGAGGGUUUACAAUACUUUUAUAAGAAUGUAUAUCCUUUGGAUGAGUGACAAAUGCCCCUUCUAGAAAAGAAGUGGGUAUGGAUCCAAAGGAUAUAGACAAGUGUCAACAAUUAGAUGAGUAUCAAAUGCUUUCUUCUAGAAGAAUGGUGGGCAAAUAUUCAUAAAAUGAGGAUAAAUGUCUAUCCUUGCAUGAAUGUCACAUACCCUCCUAAACGAGAGGGAGUUAAAGAUUCAUAGGAUGGAGACAUAUGCCCACUCCAAAAUCCCCUACCACAUGCACUUUAAGAUGUGUGCAUGAGUGUAGUGCCCGAGUCUUAUGUAUAUUAAAUUACAACUAGCAUCUCAAUAAAAAUAAAAAUAAUAUAUAUGUUACUCUCAUUUAGUAAUAUAAUUUGUGAUGUUUAUGUUUCAUUAAUAUGAUAAACGAUCGUUAAAGUUAAAGUAUAAAAUUUUCAAAAUAUGUUAUUCAUAAUGUUCUAACAAAUUUUGGUUGAGUAUGCAUAGUAUCAAUGUCUACUUUAAGCAUAUUUUAUAUUUUAUAGUAAUAAGACAAAGUGUGCUAGUGGACUUGAAUAUGAGAUAAAGUUAUGAUAAUAAAUAUUCAUAUAAUGACUAAAAGUGGGGGUUAAAAUUUAAUUGAUCUAAAGUGAAUCUCUUGAAUAAGUUUUAAACAUCAUAUAUAUAGAUAAUAAUAAGUUAUUUCGACAUAGACGAGUAACAAAAAAUUAAAUAGAAAUAUUGAGAUACAUAAGUAAGAUUAAAGAAUGAGUUUAGAUCAAAAAUGUCAUCUUUGUCAAACCAAAUUAAAUUCAAUUAAAGUUGUUUCAACCUUAUAAUUAUAUUAGUUAAGAAAAAUAAAAAACUUUAAAUAAGGUCCAAUGGGAUUGAACCAUAGACAUCAAGCUAACCUCUUAAGCACCUCUAUCUUAUUUUGAUCUCAUAAUCUUUAUCAACUUGAUAACUCAUAACCCUUUCUCUUCUUCAAUCAUUCUCUCAGUUUUUCUCAUGGAGGAUAGGAAAUCCUAUCUCAAGUUGAGGUAAAAAAAACCUAAUUCUUCCCUUGUUAUAUCUAGGAUUUUGAUUUUAUAAAUUAUAGAUUGAUCUUUUUAGUUGCUUUUGAAUAACCUUUGCUUUGAAUUUAUAUUUGAUUUUUAGACAUAUUUUAUAUAAAUCUCUUAUGGUUCUAAGGCUUUUAGUAUGACUUUAAUAUAAAAUUGGUGUAUAGAACUAUUAGUGCCCCAAUAUGAGAUACUCAGAAUCUUUUAUUUUUUGAGAAAGAGUUCUAUUUAAGCUGAUUUGACCCACUUAUGGAUAUGAUUAGAUUUUUUCUUUUGAUAUAUUUUAAAAUGUUCCCUUAGUAUUGCGUGGGAUUUGAAUACGAGUAAAUACCCCUUUGUGUAUCAAGAUAUGAGGUAUAUAAGUUCAAAUAGUCCCAACCUAAUUUCAAUGGAACAAAAUAGUUAUUGAUAAUUGAAUUAGAAGAGUAAUUUAGCCUCCAAAUGAUUCCGUUUUAAGUUAAAAAUUAGUGUGUAUUUAGUUCUAUAUAGUUUUUAAAUUUUUUUAUAACAUUUCAUGAUAAUUCAAAAUUGUGUCAUUAGUUAAAAUAAUGAAGUGAAAUUUCUUGAUUGAUAUUAGUUUAUUUAAUUAUAGAGUGAAUUGUUAAAAGAAAAUUUGGUGGUGAAAUUUUGAUGAAUUUUCAAAUUGACUAUAGUCUAUUUUAUUGAGAUUUUUAUUAAAUUUUUUCUAUAAAUUUUGUUAUGAAUUAUUAUAAAUCAAUAAUUCAAGAGAUAGAGUUCCUAAUUAAGGCAUGUCAUGAUCCUAUGCUCUCAAUUUGAUAUAUGUAUCAUUCCUUAACAUACUUAAUUAUUACAAAAUAUGAACUUUCAUUGAUAUCUUCAUUUCUGAGUUAAAUAAGAUAAGUAUAAGUCUAAUCCAUUGCAAAAUGGUGAUCAUAUAAAUUAUCAUAUUCAUAAUAUAUUUUAAAAAGUAUGUUCUAAAUGAUAUGAUUGUUAUAAGCUAGACAGCUAAAUGUGAAUAUAUAUAUAUUUUUUAAGUAUAAAAAUAUAUGAAUUGUGAUAAAAAUUAUAUUGUAUUCAUACAUAUAUGAUGACGUAUAGUGUAGGAAUGCAUAAAUAUAUUAUGAUGUACGAUGCAUGUAUAUGCUAUGAUGUACAAUAUAGGAGUGCACGUAUAUAUUAUGAUGUGUAGUAUAGAAGUGUACGUAUGUAUUAUGAUGUGUGGUGUGAGAGUGUACACGUAUGUCAUGAUAUAGGUGGUAGAUGUCCAUAAAUUUAUCAUGUUUCUUUUGCAUAUACUAUGUUGUAGGGUUAUGCUUCCGAAAAAAGUCAUACAAUUAGGUGUUUAUUGUUAAAUGUCUUAUGUUGAUGAUUUUGAAGUAUUGUAUACAUGACAUGAUAUAUGCUCACUUAAAUAAAGUUAUAAAGAUUUAUACUAAGUGAUAUUCAAUAUAGACCCUAUUUUACAUGUAAAAAUAUUAGUAUUUCGCCCAUGUGAUUGGGUAAGGAAAUGAGCACGCUUGAGCCUAUGCUACUAUAGACAUGGACAAUGACCUAUAGACAUUUGUUUAGUUAUAACUUUUUGACAUAUUGUGUGAGUGUGUUUUCCGCUUUGUUAGAUGCUAUAAUUAUGUACAAGUGUCAAAAUUACUGUGUAUAAGGGGAGCACUAUCAUUUUAUUUAAUAAAUUAAUAUGUUUUAUUUUUAAGAUUACCUACAUUCCUAUUGAUAGCAGUAAAAGAACUAGAAAGUGACAAUCUACUUUAAUCAUAUAUGUAGGGUGUGGGUGAGAUGAGAAGGGUAUUACAAUGAUAUCCCCCUUUAAUGACCCCAUAAAAGCCCAAGCUCAAUAUCUAAUAUAGUGCGGUAGAGGUAAUGACACUUAAGGUGGUGGUUGUUGACAUAAGCCUGAGUUAAUGACAAUCGAUAGCUAAUAUUGUUACUCUUUUUAGUAGUGGUGUUGUUGGUAUGAUGGGGAUGAUGUUGCUACAAUGAAAACAAAGGAGAUGGAUAGUGGGAAGGAGAGAAUUAAAAAAAGAUAGAGUAGAGUCUCUCACCCUUGAGGGCUCCCUUCUCAUUUAGGCCUCUUAUCUAAUAUUCUCCGUGGUCACAAGUACUCAAUUAUUAAUUCAUUCAUUCAUUCCUGAGAGAGGGUUUAUAAUACUUUUAUAAGGAUAUCCAUUGGAUGAGUGAUGAAGAUAAGUUUUCAUUUUUAAAUGAGUAACACAUAUUUACUUCUAAAAAAAUUAUAGAUAGGGCCUACGAGAACAAGUGUCCACCCUUAUACAAAUGUCACAUGUCCCUUUUUAGAUGGAGUUAGAUUCAUAGGAUGAAGAGAUAUGUUCACUCCAAAAUCUUCUACCAAGUGCACUUUAAGAUGUGCCUAUAACAUAUCUUUGAUGAUCAAUACAAGUCCAAACCCAAAUUCCAAUAUAAUACAAAUAUAUCUAAUGUCCAAAGUUUACUCUAAUAUAAUAAAAAAUAUUAAAUAUAAAAAUAUAUCUUGCAUUAGCAUUUAGGCUGGCUUCAUUACAAUACAAAUUUUUGGAUCAAAAUCUUGUCAUCACUAUCUAAAAUGGUUUUAAAAAUUCACUCAUUUAGAUUUAGAUCUUACUAAAUAUAGUCUAAUAGUAUAAUUUAAAAUCAUUUGAAGCCAUACAAAUUAUUCAUAUAAUUAGUAAAAGUACAUUUAAAGUUCCUAUACAUAACUAAGAAUAAUCUAAUUAAGGGACCCAUUAGUUUGACAAUCAUAGCUGAUUUAUAACCAUAAAGUUUCACAUUUUAUAUGAUAUCAUCUCCUGACAUGCAACUAUUUGAAGUUUGAAUUUUGAUGAUAUUCUUUCCGAAGCAACUUGGUCAAAAUGUAUCAAAUCAUUGAUAUUUAAAGGGACAAAACGACCAUCAUUGAAUUCAUGUUCUUGAUAAUUCUAAAAUUUAUGUCCAAAGAAAACUCUGUAUUUUCUAAUGAAAAAAUAAAUGUUAUUGAACACUUGGAAUAUUUCGUUGAGAGUCGACUUGGCAGAUAAUUUCGUAAAUUGAUGUUCAAAUUUUAAGAGUUAUGAUGCCUGCCAUGGGAAAAAAAAAUUGCAAAGCAUUUUUCACAAGUCGUAGGUUCGAUAAAAAUUUUUAUAUCAACUAUUCUAUUUUCAUUAUAUCUUUUUUAGAAUUAAAAUAUUAGUUUGAUAUUGAUACACUAUACUCAUCUAUCAAAUGUUGAGUAUUUGAAAUUUGAUCAUAUCAAUUAGGCAUCAACAAGAUCUUGGAUCAAAUUCCACCUUCACAUACUAUUCACCUUAGUGCAACACCAAUAAACUAAUGCCAUCGGUUUCAUGUAUAUCGAAAUAGGUAUAUCUAUAAACAUGAGGAUGAUUGGGAGACACGUCAUUCGUAAAUCGGAACAGAGCUUGUAGAUUUGGACUCACCCACAGAUUUGAUGAAGUAAUCAUAUGAUGUGGAUCAGGAUCGAGCCGAGAAAUGUUGACUGGCCAACAGGGCCGAGUCCAAAUUGGGUUGGGGGGUCAAUCGAUUUGCUAGUCAAAAUCGCAAUCAUGUAUAUUUGACACACCAACGGUAUUAGGGGACCGGAAGGUGGCCAUGUUCACAUGUUCGUGGGAAAGUAGGGGUUUGACGAAAGGGAACGGUCCUAAUUGAUGAUGCGAAAAGAACGAAGAAGAAUAACAACAGAAUUUUUUUUGUUUACUUAAAUUCAAUCAUGCAUUAUAACUAUAUAUAAAAAAGUCUUUAUUAUUGUGCUUUUAUGCUCUCUUAAUUAGUUUUUACUUACAGAUAUUAUUUUUUUAUCAUUUUAACGAAAAUAGUCCUUCGUCCUCCACCCAUCGUUCCAAUCAUUGGUAUGUAUAUCAUUAUCGUCUCGAUCCACUACGAAUGGUGUUGUUUGUAUCUUUCGUCGUCUUUAUCUCUACUCCAUUGACAAUCAUAUUAUUCGUCACACCCUCCUCUUUCUUUGCCAUUAAUCAUUCGUUGUUGUUUGUUGUAUUCUCCUACUCAUCUCUUCCUUGUAUGCAAUAUUCGUCUAUUAGAGUCCUAUACUCCCAUUGCAAGUGGAGUGAUGAGGAAGGAGGGAGAGGACAAAAAAAACCAUAGGCUACACCACUCGUAAUGGAGGCAGUCUAUCGAUAAUUGAGAGUAAUUAGUGAAAGAUAAAUGAAUUUUUCAAUCAAAUUAAUAAAAAAAUUAAAAAAAUACUCAAUUUAAUUAUAGCAAAUUUUGAAGUAACAUAUUUAGUCUAUCCACUAUCCAUAAAAUAUUAAGAUAUUUAUUAAUAUAUAUUAAUAAUAAAGAUAAUCAUUAUUAAAUAUGAUUAUUAAGAGUCAUAAUACUUAUAUUUCUUUAACAAAUGUUAAAGAGCAGGAAGCUCAAUUAAUAUUUUAAUAUAUAUAUAUACAUAUAUUAUACAUAAAUAUGAUCCUUGCACUUAAAAUAAUAUAUUAUCAAUGAAGCAUAUACGUCACCAAUUAGUAAUUAUUAUUAAACAUGAUUAUUGAGACUUAUUACUUUAAAGGAUACUAAUAUCAAUUAAUAUUCAUAUAUAUAUAUAUAUAUUAUUGAGAGUUAUAAGACUUUAAAUUUUCUUGCCAACUUUUGAAGGGUACUUAUAUCAAUUAAAAAAUCAAUUAAUAUCUUGAUACGUGGACAUGUACGUCGACAUAUACAUUACUCGGGUAAAUAUAUAAAUCACUAACUUUAGAAGGAUAAAAAAUAAAGAAUAAACGGACAAAAAAUACGACCAACGAAGGAAAGAUAGCGACGAGGAAGCGCCCCCAAACCGGCGACAAAAGAAGGGAAUAGAAACGGUACCUUCUUCCCCGAUCUCCCUCUCCUUUCCGAUCGAUCCCUUUCACUCCUCUCCAUGGCCACGCACUCUCUGCCUCUCCUCCCCCUCCUCCUCCUCCUUUCCGCCUUCUCCGUCCCGGUUCCUCGAUCCUCUGCCGCUGCGGCGGCAACGUCGGAAGCGCCUUUCUGCCCCCGAUCCGACCUCGCCUUCGUCGGCGGCCUCAUAGCGCAAUGCCCUCGCUGGAUCGAGCUGUCUUUCCCCCUGGAGGUACGCUUUAUUUACUCCCUUCUUCUUGCCGUUGAAAGAUCAGUCCCUUUCGCUCGAUGACAUCUUCCUCUUCGCUAUUGGUCUUGGAGUUUUGAUGAUUCCGCAUAAGUCGUUCGAAUCCAGGGCCUGAUUCAUCUGCAAUAGGAUUUUGUAGGUCUGGAUCUGUUCUUCUGAUAUCAACGGUGGCAGAAUCGUAAUUAUAAGGAUGUGACGUUUUAUCUGAGUAUAGCAUUCGUUAAUGCAAGAUGUUCUGAAUAGUGCUAACGCGAAAAUAUACUGAUCUUUCUGAUCUUUUCACUUUUGUUACAAGUUGGGGUAGUCGAUUAAUAUGGUUGUUCUGUUUCUAUGCAUAAAAUAUGCUACUAAUGCGUGCACAGAUGAAAAUAAGAAGCCCACUGAGACAUGCCUUGAUGUUGAGCAGUUAGCUUUACACUAUCUUACAGUUGAUUGAGCCUAGAAUUAUGUAUUGCAUGCAUUAGUUCCUCAUAUGUGAUUAAUCUGCUGAAAUAUUUGCUCUUCAUUGGGUUUUUGUUGAUGCCAACUUAAGAUGAACUGAGAAAGGGGAGAAAAGGAGAUUAAAAAUUUUCUAGAACAGUACAGUCUCAGUUCUCUAUUGGUCCUCAGCUAAAUUUUCAAUUAUUACCCAUGGACCAAGUAUGUGUAGUGUGAUGAAUUGAGAAAAGGGAGAAAAAUGAGAUUAAAAAUUGUCUAGAACAGUACAGUUCCAGUUUUAUAACUGUCAGAAAUAGGAUGAUGGACUCACACCUGUAUUGGUCCCCAACUAAAUUUUCAAUUACUACCCAUGGACCAAAUAUGUGUAGUAUUUGAUAUAAUCUUCUCUUUUCUUGUUGUUAGUGGCAUAAUUAGAUGGUUCUGUGUCAUUAUUUUUGUCAAGCAGAGUGUGACUUUGAAUUACUAAUUAAUUCUGAAUUGGUUGUGGCUGACAAAAUUUCUUGGGAACUGCUUUGAAACCAUAUAGUGAAAUACCUUACAGCAUAGAACUUCUCACAAUAGUUUGUUGCUGAUUCAGUGGUCUAUGCUAUCAAGCUAACUAAUAUCUUUAUACCUUAUUGAGUUUGUACUAGUCAGGGCCAUAUAUUUUUAAUUUAAAUUAAAUUAAAAACUUUCAGCAUAGAAAUCGGGAACCAGAUGUUUAACCUAAUAUGCUGGUGCAUAGGAUAUGGAAGCAUAACCAUCACAUGCUUUUGCAGACGGUCUACUUGUUUGUUGAGACUUGGAUGAGAAACACUUCAAUUCUUUUUGAGAUAUUUGAAGCUUUAAACAGUAUCAUAGUAUAAAGAAUGUGAUCUCUUUUUGUGAUUGCUUUGGUAAAUUUUUAUUUGCUUUUCCUCAAAAGUGUAACGUGGUUGAACUUUAUAGGUGCAUUGUUCAAUUUUUGUUGGAAAUUGAUAUGAGACAUAUGCAUAAAUAUAGUUAACUACCCAAAUAGUUUAUAACUUUAAUGAGUGUGCCUUUAUGAUUAAUAGAGCCUUGCUGUAGUCUUAGACAUGCAUUUUCAGAAGAUAAAAUCAUAACAUUAGAGAAAGCCUUUUUUGAUUAAAAUGAUAAAAGUCAAAUAUUUGGCCCUUCGAUCAUCUGGUGACAUCCUUGGAUGAAACUAAAUUGUUGAAACGAUAUAUGCACACACGCAUGUGCAUGCACUUAUGCACACACACACAUACACACACCACAUACAUUGAAUGAGAAAAACUGAUCGUGUAUAUUUGUUGGAUCAUAUGUUACUUCAGCCAAAAAAAUAACAAAAAAUUGCAAAAACUUUUUUUUUUUUGGAGCUAUUCUUUCAAUUUGCAAUACUAUGGCCGAAUUGAAAGGUGAUAAAACAUUAAUUGUGGAGAUACAUCCUUGAUACUGACAUAGUGUUUCUUUCUUUGAUGAGGGAAAAUUUGGUACUAUUGAAGAAUUUGGAGUAUGUAGCAUGUGGAAACAAAGAAUCUAAGAUGUUGUGUGUAUCGUUAGAAAGUAGUAACAGGUAAUACUCAUCAAAAGGAGAAAAAAGAAGAGAUUGAGAGAAAAAAAAUGAUGAGAGCAACUAUAAGCACUUUUCAGUAAUAUGAAAUCCCUCAGAAUUUCAUAAAACCAUUUCUUGAUAGCAUUUAUGAACUUCUCAUGUGGCUACUAGUUCUAGAAACUAUUGAUCCAGAAGAUAUGUCUACAGUAAGUAUUCCUGUAGUUCUUCAACUGGAAAAUGAGAGUUUUGCUUAAAGUUUUUCACCAAUUAUACUCUUAGGAGUAUCUAAACUUAUAUGAAUGUUGAUUGCAUCUUGGAGAGAUUUUUUUCUGUGAAGCAAAGAUCAAUUGAGAGUUCAUAUAUCUUUGAAUAGUUGUUAUUUUUAGAAAUUAAGCGGCUCAUUAUAUCUUAAUGUCCUUUCAUGCUGUUGUAAUUUCAUAUUAAGUAGCACAACAUAAGCACCUGACUUAUUCAGCAUAGACAUUGAUUCUUUCUAUGGUUAUUAACAUAUAUCAAAACACCACCGGAAUCUAAGGAUUACCUGCAAUGACUUCCAUGCCUUUCAUCAUAAUUGCCCAUCAUCAUAACUUUCUUACCAUAUAUCUAAACUUUGCUCUAGAUCAGCACUGUAGGUCAAUGUCCAAGAUAUGAUCUGAAGUAAUUCUAAAAUGUAGUUUUUCAGCCAAUCAGGCUGAAUUUGGGAUGAAUAUAUAUAGAAAUAUUGAUACAAGUGAACAUCAUUUAGGCUGGUAGGCAAAGAAUCAUUAACUCAAAAGCUUCUGACAACAACAAUGAUGACAAAAAAGUCGUAAAAUCUCAAUUAUUUGAAGUCGGUUACAUGGAUAUUUUGUGGUCAUUGAGAUCUAUAAAAAAUCAUAUGUUUAGUUAAGUUAGAACAUUUAAAUCUUAAUUUAUAGUUUAUAUUAAGAUCUUCCUAUACUUCUUCUUAUACCAUUGAUAGUAAUUAUUUCACCUCUUAACUAUCGCAUUUGUAGGUCUCGGUUUUAAGUACAUAUCUAUAAACGAUUAUUUCUCAUCUUAUCCUAUAUCAAGUUGAUACCUAAUUAUUCAUGAAUAAAACCAUUUCUUUCCCUAUCUUUCCUAUUAUAUCCACACAUUCACCUCAAUAUUCUCAUCUCAGCGGAACAUAUUUUUUAUAUAUGUUGUUUCUUAGUUGCCACACACAUCCAACAAAUUAUUUUAUUGUUUCUAAUAAAAAAAUUCUUUUAGCCUUAAAGGUAUCUAAUGAUCACAUAAUAUAUGUAUUUUAACCAUAUUAUAUAUUAACCAAUUGAGAAAGAGGAGAAUAAACUUUUUUUAACAAUGUUACAUAUCCUCCAUCACUUUGUUUCCUUUUCUUCUCUCCAUGUGAAUAAAUGGGGUUACUGCUCCAUAUGUGUAUGUUCAACUUAUUGUAAUUUAGCAUACCUUACUAACAUCCUUGAUUGAUCUAUCUUAAAAGCGAGUAGCAAAUUUAGUUAACCAUGUGGUAUUUUAAUCUUAUCUUAUACCUUUGUGAAGCUAAAAUAUAUUGUCGUCUAACCCAUUAAACCAAUAUGAAAAAGUUUUAUAAAAUAACUCAAGACCUAAUGAAAAUGAAGAAUUUUAUGAUAUGAUCUUUAACAUCUUGGCAUCUUUGUUGUAGUUUCAAUUGUUUUACUAAUGUUUGAACCAAGGUAUGCAAUUUCGUACCGUACCGGAGUUUCGACGCUUGUUCGGUAUGGUACGAAAUUGUAUACCAUUCGGUAUACCGCUCGGUAUACCAUUCGGUAUACCGUUCGGUAUAUAUAUAUAUGUAUAAAUUAUAUAUAUAUGUAUGUAUAAAUUAUAUAUAUAUAUUUUUUAUAAAAGGCGACGUCGCCUUUUCCUUCUCCCACNNNNNNNNNNNNNNNNNNNNNNNNNNNNNNNNNNNNNNNNNNNNNNNNNNNNNNNNNNNNNNNNNNNNNNNNNNNNNNNNNNNNNNNNNNNNNNNNNNNNNNNNNNNNNNNNNNNNNNNNNNNNNNNNNNNNNNNNNNNNNNNNNNNNNNNNNNNNNNNNNNNNNNNNNNNNNNNNNNNNNNNNNNNNNNNNNNNNNNNNNNNNNNNNNNNNNNNNNNNNNNNNNNNNNNNNNNNNNNNNNNNNNNNNNNNNNNNNNNNNNNNNNNNNNNNNNNNNNNNNNNNNNNNNNNNNNNNNNNNNNNNNNNNNNNNNNNNNNNNNNNNNNNNNNNNNNNNNNNNNNNNNNNNNNNNNNNNNNNNNNNNNNNNNNNNNNNNNNNNNNNNNNNNNNNNNNNNNNNNNNNNNNNNNNNNNNNNNNNNNNNNNNNNNNNNNNNNNNNNNNNNNNNNNNNNNNNNNNNNNNNNNNNNNNNNNNNNNNNNNNNNNNNNNNNNNNNNNNNNNNNNNNNNNNNNNNNNNNNNNNNNNNNNNNNNNNNNNNNNNNNNNNNNNNNNNNNNNNNNNNNNNNNNNNNNNNNNNNNNNNNNNNNNNNNNNNNNNNNNNNNNNNNNNNNNNNNNNNNNNNNNNNNNNNNNNNNNNNNNNNNNNNNNNNNNNNNNNNNNNNNNNNNNNNNNNNNNNNNNNNNNNNNNNNNNNNNNNNNNNNNNNNNNNNNNNNNNNNNNNNNNNNNNNNNNNNNNNNNNNNNNNNNNNNNNNNNNNNNNNNNNNNNNNNNNNNNNNNNNNNNNNNNNNNNNNNNNNNNNNNNNNNNNNNNNNNNNNNNNNNNNNNNNNNNNNNNNNNNNNNNNNNNNNNNNNNNNNNNNNNNNNNNNNNNNNNNNNNNNNNNNNNNNNNNNNNNNNNNNNNNNNNNNNNNNNNNNNNNNNNNNNNNNNNNNNNNNNNNNNNNNNNNNNNNNNNNNNNNNNNNNNNNNNNNNNNNNNNNNNNNNNNNNNNNNNNNNNNNNNNNNNNNNNNNNNNNNNNNNNNNNNNNNNNNNNNNNNNNNNNNNNNNNNNNNNNNNNNNNNNNNNNNNNNNNNNNNNNNNNNNNNNNNGCGGGCGACAUCGCCUCGUUUAUAUAUAUAUAUAUAUAUAUAUAUAUAUAUAUAUAUAUUUAUAUAUAAAUAUUUAUAUAUAAAUAUUCUUAUAUAUAAGGCAACGUCGCGUCGCCGAAAAAGGCGACGCGAUGUCACCUUUUAUAAUAUAUAUAUAUUAAUAUAUAUAUAUUUCGUUCCGUCCGAUAACGGGUUGUCACGGCCUUAGCUGGAAUUGCCUAAGGCGUGAGGCACCCUUGCGGCAAAGAUGCGAACUUAGCUUGCGUUGCCUAAGUCGCGAGGCACUCUUGCGGCAAAGACGCGAACUUAGCUUGCGUUGCCUAAGUCGCGCUUCACCGCUGCAAUUUGCGUCCGCAAAAAUUAGCCCAACCUCUCGCAGGUCCCGAAGGACCUGUAAAAGAGAAAGUUGAUUAGCUCGAAGAACGAGCGACAGACAAGUCCCGACGUAUCGCGAAAAGGGGAAGCUUUACAAGUAAUUCAGCGAGCACUUUGCGUGCCCAAGAGAAAAGAGGGAGAGGGGGAAAACAAGGACUUUAGAAGGUUGAACGAACAAUUGCAAGCAGUGUCUGCAAUACCGGACUGUACCGCCCGGUACGAGCGGUACGUACCGGUCCGAGAGGUUAUCUGUACGCGGACCGCCCGUUACCGGGCGGAACGAAUAAUAAUAAUAAAAUUAUAUAUAUAUAUAUAUAUAUAAUUUAAAUAAUCGAGGCGACGCAGCGCCUUUUGCGGCGACGUUGCCGAGGCGACACGACGUCGCCGAGGCGAUACGACGUCGCCUUUUUCGGCGACGUCGUCGAGGCGACGCAACGUCACCAAGGCGACACGACGUCGCCUUUUUCAGCGACGUCGCCGAGGUAUAUAUAUAUAUAUAUAUAUAUAUAUAUAUAUAUAUAAUUUAAAUAAACGUCACCUCGGCGACGUUGCCCCGUGUGGGGAAUGAAAAGGCGACGUCGCCGAGGCGAUGCGACGUCAGCCAAUAAAUAAAUAAAAAAUAAAUAUAAUAUAUAUAUCGAACGGUAUACCGCUCGGUAUACCGAGCGGUAUACCGUUCCGUACCGUACCGAGCGAUCGUCGAAAUUCCGGUACGGUACGAAAUUUCAGACCUUGACUGCAAGUCCACAAGCAGCUGCUCACCGGGUGCCGAGCGCGACAACAAGUUCCCGUCAAGGUAACGUGCGAACUUGCGAAAGAGUGUUCAACUCCCGGCACUAUACCGAAGCCCCAUCCAGCCCUGUGCCACUCGGGUGGUUCUAGGGUGCUGAGAUGGUUGACGUUUCGCGUGCAAUAGCGGGCUGCAGAAAUCAACCCGUGGCACGCGAAAACGGAGCUAUUUUGGGGCUGUUUUGCUCGGUUCGGUGAGCGAUCGCACUGUAGCGCUGCAACUUGUUCGAACUUACAUUUUUACAAGCAAAAUGACUCAAAACCAAGACAAAACAUGCUGCCAAGCAACUGUACAUGUAGAUGAGAGCGAUGAACGAUUCGUUGAACGGAGUUAUUGCGGGUGCACGACGACCGUUCGUGACAGGGCGGUUCGUGUACAGUUAAGCUGAUGAACCGGUAUGUACCGCUCGUACUGGGCGGUAUUAUUCUAAAUUGCAUACCUUGGUUUGAACAUAUUGCUGCUGUCUCACUCCUUGAUAAUCUCAUUUCUUCUCCAUACAAGACCAUUCUAAGCAAUUUUUUGACUCAACUAACUAGUUGAUUGUCUAUUUAAAGAAAUGAUAAUUAACAAUUUAUGACAUGCCACUAUUCUGAAAUUUCAUUCUAAUUUAUUGUAUCAAAUUUUGAUUAAAGGUUGUAGAUGAGUUAAACUGUCUGUUAGGUUAUUAUUGUAUGUUCUUCAAUUUGUUUGUUCUUUACCCUCCAAGAAAAUGCAGUUUGACUGUGGUUGUUUAAAUCCUGAGGUUCAGCCUAAAGGAAAUUAAUUUUGAACCUCACGUUAAAAGGUAUUACUCACUUUUUGGCUUUGUUUAUAAUACUAAUAAGAUGGGAUGGUUAGAAUGACAAGUGAUGAACAACUUGUUAUAAGCAACGUAACAUGAAACAAGAAUAUCAGUGCUAUAGGCAUACCUGGCAAUUAAUCAUGUUUAUAUAAUCAUGUAUUAAAAAAAUCUUUUCAAAUGACUGGUUUCUUAAAUCCAUAGACAUGUAUGCUUCGUUUUCAUUUGAAGAUAUAAGGUACAAAGACUUCUACAAAAUUUUAAAAAUCAUUUAGUUGCAUAUGCUUGUUGGAAUAAACAAAAUUCUUUCUAAGCUUCUUACUUGGGAGCAGUGAUUACAAUAGGCGCUCGGGUGAGGCGAGGCGAGGCCCAAGCGUCUUGCUUUGAAGCGCGCCGCCUCGGCACUCACUCGAGCCCAGGCGCUAGGUGCUUCGGGCGAGCGCUUGGGUUAAACCGGGCGACCGAACCAGAUUUUAGGUCUGGUUGGUCUCCGGUGCUUUAGUUGGUUCAAUCGAACCAACUAAAUCACCGAUAUCAGGCUCCCUCUCGCGAUUUCUCUGACUUCCCCAACUCUAACACUCGUGAUUUUGCCGCCGAGAUUUCUUCUCAGCUGUCGCUGCUCGUCGCUAUUGUCGCUACUCGUCGUUGCCACAAUCGCUGCUCGCUAACUGCUCGCCGCUGCCAUAAUCGCUUGUCACUGUCGCUCGUCGCUCCCGCUCCCACUCCCGCUAUCGCUCCUGCUACCGCUGUCACCUGCUACCGCUGCCGUUGCCUUAGCAGCCUCGGUCUUCUCACACUCUUCUCACUAUACUGUUAACAGUAUAUUAACAGUAUACUGCUAACUGUAUACUAAUAAUAGUAUUUUUAUUUAUUAGAUUAAUAAUAUAUGAUUUUGAUUUUAAUAUUAUUAAUUUUUAUCUAUUUAAAAUUAUUGUUAGGUUUCAGAAUAAAUGACAAGUGUAUAGAGCAACUCAAUAGAUUUGAUGUAAAAUUUUAUUGUUUUAAUUUUUGAGAUUUUUUAUUAAUGUGACAUUGUGAUUUUGUACCAUAUUUUCUUAAUUUAAUAGCAUAUUUUUUAUUUAAAUAAUUAUAUUUAUUAAUUAUAUUAUAUAUUUUUAUAUUUUAGCGUCUCGCUUCGCUCGGGCGAGCGCAUAGCGCCUCGGGCGUUUUUGGAUAUUGGCGCCUUUUGGCGCCUAGCGCUUUUUAAAUCACUGCUUGGGAGUAUAGUUCACAUUGGAUAUCGUUUUCUUUCAAGAGAAUAAGAAAUGUCAUCAAGCUACAUAAGGAGUGUGUGAGCAUCAAUUGAAAGUCUGGUUUGUACAUUUACUGUCUAGAAUGGAUUUGGUGAAAAGAGUUGGUUAAUUUGUGUUAAAGAAUUUAGGAAACAGAAGAGGUAGCUUAUGAGGUGCAUAUGUUCAAGUCUUUAGAAAAGCAUAGAAUAAUACCAGGUAGGACCUAGAAAUCCAACUGCUGGUUUUAAGGAGAAGACCAAUGGUCAUGUUUAUGUUCAUUAAAUGAAGAGACUUUUUUUUUCUUCUUGGAUGAAAGAUGUUGAUGAUGACCUAUUUGACAGACGUAAAUUUUUGAACCCUAAACUCUAAAAUUUUGAACCUAAAUAGGGAUUGUAGACGAUCUGAUGGCAGUUUUGUCAUAUAUUUAAUUCUCUCAGGAGGCACAAUCUUUGAGUUAUUUCUUUCUAAUUAAGGUGGAGUUCCACUUGAUGGAGUAUGCAAUAAAUAAUUUUUUGUUCAUCUAAUGGAGCCUAGGUUCAAGGCAGAGUGCAUGCCCAUAUUGAAGCAAUGUUAUCCUGAAAUGAGAGUUUGCUAGAAAGAACCUUGAAAGGUGAAUUGAAUUUAAAAUGAGAUGCGCUUACCAUUUAGUAAUAUCUAAAUAAUCGAAAUAUAAAUUUUUACUUAUAAGAUGGGUUAGAUAGUCAAAUUUUGUGUUAAUUUCAAGAUGCAUUUACAGAAAGGUUGUGGUUUCAACGUCUUGCAUAAGCGAUAGAAAAGAGGAACUUUCUAGGUAGAAUGCCUCGACAAUAACAAACUCUCACACAUCAAAGUAUUAUUAGUUAUAAUGCCAAUACUCAUAUAUGUCAGGUCUCCAUACCACAUAUACUUAUUCAGUUUCUAGACAUUUUAGAUUUAAAAAAUUGAACUCCAUGGUCGUGAAAUAUAAAAUAUAAAAUAAGUAUAAUAUCAAACAUUGACAAUGAGAUUGUGCAGAAAUGAUAAAGUUUUAGCAACAAUUAGUCAUACACACUUAGCAAUUUGUCAGCAAUAAAGACAAAAUCCUUAUUGUUAUAAAGCAAUUUAGGCACUUGACCAUUUUAAAGGACCCGUAGGAGUGCACCUAAUUGAAGUCAUGAAUAUCAAUUGAGUUGAGGCUUAUUACAAUCAGUCUCGGUGCACCUCUUGCCUGGUCAAACCUUUACAUCUAUAAUAACACUGUAUAUGAAGAAGUUUCUUUUAACACAAAUUUUUUGGUUUUACUUUAUAAAAAAAAAUGAGUAGGAUAUAAAUUUCAGUUUCUCCAACAAAUUAAAACAAAUCUGUGUCUGUAUCAAAUAUAUCAUGGAUACACAUAUUCAUGUGAUAUGUGCUGAGUAGAUGUCAGUAGGGUUUGCCUUACCAGUAGGAUGGUGAUAUGGUAUGUGUCGCUCCAUAAUGACCUACCGUGUGUUGGUAUGGUGGGGCAUACCAAUGGCACAGAAAAAUGGUAAAAAAUGACUUCAAAAUUUUUUGAAAAAUAAAGAAAUGUUAGAUUAGUGUUUUUAAGUUGAAAAUAAAUAUAAAUUUAGUAUAAUUUUAGCAAAAAUAAUCUAAAUUAGGAAAGAAUAGUGGUAUAUAGGUGUUAAUCCUCCCUAAUUAGCUUUCUAAGUUUGAUUUAGUCUAAGAAUCGUAGCUUUGUGGAGUUCAAGAGAGUGCAAAUGGGAGACUGAGAGAAAUACGUGAGUAGAAAGUGAUUGAUAGAGUAGAUGAGUUAGAGAGGGUGAAAGGGGAGAGAACGAGGAGGUAGAAAGGGUUUAAAAACCCUAAAUCUAGUUUAAACGAUCAAAUGGACUAUUUAAAUUCAACAAAUCCCAACCAUUAAUCGGUAUCGAUUGAAAUUCGAUUGUUACUGAUCGGUACAGGUCAGUAACGAUCGGAUUUGAUCGUUACGACUGGUACAGAUGCUGUAUCGAGUGAUACGGGGUCCCCUGUUAUGGUCCACCUGGUACAGGACGGUUCACGUAUCGAUCCCUGGUUGAACUGGUACAUAUUGCCCAUACCGCCCGCUAUAGGUCGACAUGGCAAACCAUGGAUGUCAAAUAUAUUGUUGAUUCAUUAAAGUGUCUUUCUUUUAAGUUAACAUAAUAAAGUGCGAUACCGUUAUAUUCUUCAUACUUUUUUAGGAGGUAUAAUUGGUCAUCUUUCUUUUUUGACUAGAUAAUUUGUCAACAUUAGUUUUUGUGAUGUACAUAACAUUUUAUGGUACAAAUUUACAAUAUGGAUGAAGGGAUUUUGUGAUAUACAUAACAUUUUAUGAUACAAAUUCACAAUCUGGAUGAAGGGAUUUUUUUGCAUAUUAUUUCUUGUUUGGUGUAAGAUUCUGUUACAAAUUAGUUUUUGUGAUAUACAUAACAUUUUAUGGUACAAGUUCACAAUAUGGAUGAAGGGAUUUUUUUGCAUAUUAUUUCUUGUUUGGUGUAAGAUUCUGUUACAAAUUAGUUUUUGUGAUAUACAUAACAUUUUAUGGUACAAGUUCACAAUAUGGAUGAAGGGAUUUUUUUGCAUAUUAUUUCUUGUUUGGUGUAAGAUUCUGUCAAUCUCAGAGCAUUUUAUCUUGAAAUAAAGGAUGCUCAUAAUUGGUUCCCUAAGGUUCAAGUAUGCUCCUACACUUAUGCAUGCCAGUUUUUGCAGCUAAUAGUAUGCUUGUUAUCUGUAAUAAAGCUCAUGAUAUGCUAACAGAGUUAUUUCUAUAAAUGUAUUUCACUUUGUCAUCUGUUCUCUUUUCCCCAAUAUUUCAGUUUCUUGUAAUGACGUACACUUUGAUUCAUAUUGCAUUCUUGUCUGUAUUUUCAUGGUUCUCUGGUGGUCUCUCUGAGUCAUGAGAUUAUUUUAUUAUACCCAAAAAGAAAAACACUUAACUAUUAAAUCUGCUAUCGUCUUUUGCACCUUUGUUGUUUAUUUGGAGCAUAAAUUGAUCUGAUGUUGUCCCUUUUGUUCUUUAAGGUGGAUGGGGAGUCUCUUGACAGAGAGUUGAUUCAUGGUGAGAGUAAAGGUUAUUACUCUGUACUGUUCUAUGCUUCAUGGUGUCCAUUCUCGGACAAUAUUCGUCCUACUUUUAAUGUUCUUAGUUCCAUGUUUCCCCAAAUAAAGCACUUGUUAGCGGAUGAAUCUUCUACAAUGCCAAGGUAUCCAUUAUACUCAUAUAUGUCAGUUUGCUGCAUCCAGAUAUUGCUUAUUCCUUUUUAGUGUUUGACUAUUCUAUUUCUGGUUGGUUUCUGCUCUCACACAUUGCAGUAUUCUCUCGAGAUAUGGUAUUCACAGCUUUCCAGCUAUUGUUCUCUCCAACCAGACAGCAACUAUUCGAUACCGUGGUCCCAAGGAUAUCGAUACUCUCAUCCAAUUUUACAAGAAAACUACAGGUUUGUUGACACUAGCUUUUCUUGCAAUCAUUUUCUUUCUACCUGAGUGUUGCACAUCUUGAUGUUUCUCUUCGAUCUUUGCUGAAACCUUCUAGGCAUAUGAGAUGCAAGAUCAAGUGGUUAAUCCCGAAGGAUUUGUUUAGGUUGUGUUAAGGUCCAGUUUCUGUCAUGAGAUUGAUUGUCCUUCUGGUUUACUUUGAGAUAGAAAGAUAUGCUAGCUGUUUAGUGGGAGAGAAUAUCCAUUCAAAGAGAUCAUCAUGUCUUAUAGUUACUUCUGGUCGUACUAGUGUAUGCUCGUCUGUAUCACAUGAUUGAUUGUAGAAGAAAAAAAUUGUACCAAGCACCAUCUUUGGGUCCCUUUUCACAUCAUAAUUUUCUUGUUAUGCACAGGUUUCGAUCCAGUUGAACGCUUGGUCGUCGACCAGCCUGCUAAUUUAGGAAAUGUGAGAUCCCUAAUGCAUCAGGUGGAAUCUCUAAGGGAGUUGAUAACCACGGAGCCAUAUCUGGUGCUUGGAGUGCUUUUCAUCUGCCUGAAGCUAGUCCUGUCUGUCUUACCUGUUGUUUACUCCCAUCUCAAGGCUCUCUGGGUCUCACAUGGCUGGCAUCUCAACCUGCCCAUCCUUUGUGAACCAAGUCAGUUGUUGGUAAGAGUGCUGCAUGGAAUUGACGUCAAUAAACUGUGGAACAAGGUUAAGCUGGGUAAUAAGACUAUGAAUUUGAGGAAGGGUGCAAACAAUGCUCGUGCCUGGGCUUCUACCCUAACCUCUGUCUCACUAGGUGAGUCCUCCUCCCCCUCCUCUUCCUCCUCCUCAAGACUAAUAACCCCUUGUGACUCAUGACUCUUUUCCUGUGUCCUUUGGAGAAAGCCAAAAAGAGGUGGGUGCUUUUGUAACCUCAGAAGUCUGUGUCAUUUGCUAUUCUCCAUCAAUGUAAAUGUUGUCUGUGCCUCUUUUGAAGAUUGGGUAAUGGGAAGAAAGGUCUCAUGUAAAAUUUUGAGUGUUACAUCUCUCUCUUUGUGUAUUGGAUACGUUUAUACAGUAUCUCUUUUAUUAAUUCUAUGAAAUAUUUUUAUUAGAUAUGAUAGCGGGUUGGGUAUCCAUGAAAUUUAGGUGCCUGAACCUAAGUUUGAACACAAUUUGGGUACUUGAUUUCCUAUCUUGAACUUGUCUCAAGCCCGAUCGUUGUGCACAUAAAUAUGAUUUGAGCUGGUUGGAUAGUCGUGGGUCUAUCGUCCACUCAGGAAUUCUUGUCGAAUAAUUGGGUGGGGUAUUUGCAUGAGUACAAAUUUGGACUUGACUUGGGAAUCUGAUUUUUUUUUAUCUAAAACUUUAUCCUAAAUUCGAUUAAGGGGUACUGAAACCCAUUUUGUUUAAAUGGAUUGCAUAGAGAUCAAAUAUCCAAAGAACAAAAACCAUCUUUACGGUACUAAAACCAUCUUUACGGUUUGUGCAUUGAUUGACAUUUAUUCCUGGCUCAAGAUUCUGGAAAAGGAACAGUACUGUUGUUUCUCAUCAUCCAGAGGUGCCUUUUUAAGGUCUCGAAGAACAGAUUGAAUGUUAAGAAGAUUAGUCAUUCAUAGUGUAUGCAUUGUUUUUAUAGUGUCUAACCAAAAGAAAAUUGAUGACAUCCAUGUAAGCAAAUUCAUGUAACCAAUUAUGCAUCUCUAUCUUGAUUGGACUGCAAAAACUAGUCAUCAGAAAUGAAGGCUGGAUCCUUCGUAGGAUGUAAGAGGGAAAUUAAUUGGGUUUAUUGGACAAGAAUGGAUGUAUAACUGUUUUCUAUUCAAUUCAGUCUUUAAUUGAAUUGUUUUCUCUAUAACAAUGCACAAAAGUUAAUGAAAUGAUUGGCAUCUGAUAUAAGAUCUCUAAUAUUUUUUAAAUAAAAUCUAUUUUUAUUAUAUUAAAUAUUAUAUAUGAUUUUCACAUGAGACUCGAAUACGAGAUCUAUCAUUUUAUAUAAUAACAAUGUACUAACUCGGAUAUCUCAUUGAUCAUUUUAUAUAAUAACAAUAUACUAACUCGGAUAUCUUAUUGAUCAUUUUAUAUAAUAACAAUGUACUAACUCGGAUAUCUCGUUGAUCAUUUUAUAUAAUAACAAUGUAGGAUAUCUCAUUGAUCAUUUUAUAUAAUAACAAUUUACUAACUCGGAUAUCUCAUUGAUCAUUUUAUAUAAUAAGGAAAGAUAUUUCUUUCCUGAAUAGUGGCCACCUUGCUUUCCCAGUCUUCUUUUCGCUUUUGAUAGUCUUUAUCUAUCCACAUCCCAUCUCCCAUCUCCGUCAGAACUGAUUCUAACCCAAGGCUCAAGCAAACCCCACAUGACUCCAAUUUCCAAAUGAGAAUCUCCUCUGGGAGAAAGCAAAAGAAGUAUGAAAUCAUCACUGGUUGGAAGAUGGAAUGUGUCCAUUUGCUUCGUUGGUUUGUUUGAUGACAAAUAAAUUAUUCAGGUGGGGAUAGGCUCUGAAGCUAUUAAACAAUAAAUAAUAUUGCAAAGAUUUAGGAUUAGUAGUUAUUUUAUUUUAUUCCACAAUGAUUUACAAGAAGGCAAAAUAAUUGUACUGUUAUUAGUUUGAACUCAAACAUUUUGACUUGAUAAGAUGAACAGAAUCAGUAUUAGAUUUUUGAAACUUGUGAAUGAGGGCUGAAAUGCAAUACAGAGAAUGACGUGCGACUCGCUCAGCCUAUCACCUGCAAAUUUAUCUUUCUCAUGCACGAGACAGGUGUGGUGAGGCUACGAUACAUGUCUCAUCGGUAGAAGCCAUCGACGAAAGCUGGAAAUCGAUCCAUGGGAAAGAUCUUGACAGGUGGGUCCGAUAGGGAGCUCAUUUAUCACUAGCAGAAAGGGAUAAGCUCGGGCUCUCUCUCAAACACACUGGAGAGGUGAUCAUUCUAUGCUCAGUCCAAGAUCACACGCCCUCUUCCGGUCUGCUUCCUAGCAUUGCAAUCCCCUCCUCCCUCUCAAAUGGAGAAAUCUUGCCUGGAGUUGGACAUGGAAGAGUGGGAGUUCCUCCCCGAUAACAAGGCCUUCCUGGGCUUCAGCCAUGACGGUGCCAAAGACGUGCUGCUCAAGGAGCUCAUCGUGGAUACGAACUACUUCUCAAGCCCUUCCAGAGAUGUUGCAGCUCCACUUAGCUCUGAUCCAACUGCAGGCGACAACCCAAACGACGAGGCUCCCGACGAAGGAUUCAAGGACGUCGGCGUCGUCCCACCGGUGACAUCAGCGAACCAGCGUGAAGUGGUACGUCAAGUCUUCUUCAAGAAGCUGAAGGAGAACGAACUCGUCGAUAUGAAGGUGGCCUCCAACGCCAUGGAAGCCAUCACGCCUCGCUUGGAACCAGAGCAGAAUCAGUUGGGUGAAGAAGGCAAGGAGGGGGCUCCGAUGGCGAACGAGAAGGAUCAAACAGCGUCUGAGAUCAAAGGCAAGGCUUGUGGGGAUGGCUUUGGGUUCACACUAUGGAAUUGGAGAUUGACAGGCAUCGGAGCCUUCUGCUGCGUAGCAGCUGCGACCAUCUGCAUCUUCAUCAUUGGCGGCCGACCGCAACAGAAGCAGAGGAUCCAGCUCGGUAUCCAUGCGGAUGAUAAGGUAGUGUUCAUUGAUUUUCCAUUAAUAUCCAUUAAUUUUAAUUCAGUAGCAAAAAUAUCUCUCUGUUCUUCUCACUUCCAACAUGUUAGUUUCUUAAUGGCUUUGAGCUUCUACUGUUGAUCGCAGAGGAUGAAGGCAAAAAGGCUAAACGAUACACUGUCAUCUCCCACCACCAAGGCACAGGUCUCAGUCGAAGGCCAGUACAAUCAAUAGUGCUCGAUCAACUGCAUGUUAUCAUCAGCAUCACUAAACGCAUAAAGUCCCUACUUAUUUGUACAUGGAUUGUGGGAGAUGAGUAGUAGGAGCAAGUGUGGUGCUAAUAUAUACAAUUUAAUGGCUAAAGUUAACAGAGCUUGUUUUGUCUUACGACAAAGACGAUGAGAAGAGAAGGUUGGCACUUGAAAGGAGAAGAGAAGGUUGGAAGGUCCACAAAGACAAAGGAGACGUGGUUGGGCCAUUUAAUAAGGAAUGCAAUCAAACAUCGACAUGUGAAUUAAGAAACAAACGAUACAUUAUUAUUAUUAUUAUUAUUACUCUCAUUGGAGACCUCAUCAACCUAUUAUUAAUGUAUACAUAUUACAUCAAGAAUAUACUUACAUUAAGAACAGCAAAAACAUUACCUUGCACCUACAAAUGCCAAGCCAUUUUUCAUGUAGCCAUCAACAUAAUAAAUAAGCAAUUAAUUGAAUUGAUCAUGGAAUGGAAGAAAACAAAAUGGAAUAGAAGAAAAAAUUCACAUCUAAAACCAGUUUAAUGAUUUCAAUCAACACAAAAGGAAAACUAAAAAUACUAUCAGUAAAUAAAUAAAUAAAUUAUAUAUACAUUUAUAUAGAUAUAAUAUAAUAUAAUAUAUAUCAGAAGCCAUCUAAGAAAGGAACUACCGAGAGAAAUGAGCUCCUUUCCCUCAAAAGGAUUCAUGUCGCUUUGCGCCUCCGUCUGAACCGUAUGCAGAUGGCUGUUUCAUCCUGCAUCCGGUUAUUCAAGAGGCUAUUCUCGAUUAAUCAUCAUGAUUGUAAAGAUUCAGAGACGGACAAGACAAUAAAAAGAAAAAGACGGCAUUUAGAUCGAAGGACGGAUACGAGAUAGCAAGAAAAGGAAGGGAGGACCUUGUCCAAGGCAGCUUGGGGGACACCACAUGGAGAUCAGUGAUGGAGUCCCCUCAAAAGGCCUGAGAAGGUUUGUAGUAGAGCGCAAACCCAUCUCUGUGCGCCCCCUAACUAAGCCGGACGGUACAAGGGCUUUCGCCUCCAUACGGCUACUCAAAGAGGCAAAUCAUCGAGCACCUAAAACACGAAAACAAACAGAGAGAGAGAGAGAGAGAGAGAGAGAGAGAGAGAGAGAGAGAGAGAGAGAGAGACAGAGAGAGAGAGAGAGAGAGAGAGAGAGAGAGAGAGAGAGAGACGGCGGUUGAGCAAGGCAGGCGGAGAUCAGCAUCGCGCUAGAGGCUUCACACUAGACGGCUACUAGCAGAGACAAACCAUCGAACACAUUAUACGCAGACGGCUACUAGCAGAGGCAAACCAUCGAACACUUUAUACACAGACGGAGAGAGGUGGAAGUCACGGAGUCGGAGGCGGCGGAGAAGGUUAGGGUUUAGUUAGGCUACAUAUAUACAAGCUGGGCUCGUUAAGAUGGCCCAAUAUCAUUGGACCAGAGAGCCCAUUCCCCAACCCAAUUAGUUGGAGAGUCCCAAUUUCGAUCAAACCUCCACUUGAUCAGACCCCAUCACCUUGUAAGAUAUGCACAUGGGAUCAGCAUUCCCAUGUUUUGAUCCACUGGAUCAAUAAUGAAUGUUGUACUUGGAUGAUUCCAUCCAUGAACCAUAAUGUGUGUGUGUGUGUGUGAGAAAGAGAGAGAGAGAGAGAGAGAGAGAGAGAGAGAGAGACUUUGUGCAUUCCCAUUCCACUUUUCAAGUAUAAACCACUUUAUAAUGGACACACACACAAACAAACACCAAUUUCUUGAAUGGCUUCCACUGUGUCAAACAAAACAUAAACUACAUCACAAUGCUAUGGCAUUUGCUCUUUUUUCUCUGCAGCCAAAAUGCCUCCACAAUGUUGGAUUCAUCAACAAGAUUAGAGACAUAGUCUUCUCUGCAUGAUUGCUUCGAGUUCAGAUUGGAGAAAGGGAAGACCAGUAACAAAACAUGACAAGAGUAGAUGGAAGCAAAUAAUAUGCCAAGGCAAUAAUACCACAUCUUAUUUCAUCUACUUCUAACCACAAAAAAUAGCUCACAGGAUCAAUCACCAAGCAUGACCACAGACAUCGGUACGAAUAUAUUUCUCUCACCAGAGAUGACAGAUGAGAACAACAAAUACAACAUCACGACGAAGAAUAUGAGGCAACAUGCCGCUCAGCAGAGGAAGUAUCCAAAGAGGAGGGCCGACAGCAUGGCAAGGACGGCAGCAGGCGCAGCGAGCGUUGUGGCGCCGGAGGUGGGGCUGGGGGCAGGAGCCUCGGCAGCGGCGGCUUUCUCGACCAAGGAAGAAGCCAUGACGACGGCCAUCAUGGCCACGGCGAAGAGCCUCAGCUUAGGACCAGCCUCCAUCGUCGAUAAUAUUGAAGUUAAUGAAGAGAGGAGAAGGCUUAGUUUGUGUGUAUAGACUCUCCACAGAUCCUCCUGAAGGAAAGAAGAGCAAAGAGAAGAAGGAAUGGGUUCAUGUGGUGGCGGGGAAGGAGGGUUAUAUAGGGGUUGGAUGGCUUCUAUUUUGGCGUGUUGUUUUUGUGUGGUUGGAGUUGGAGACCUGACAACGAAAGAACGGGAGGAAGAAGCAGUCAAAGAUGAAUGGGAAAGGCCGUGAAUGAUUGAACGAGGUGA